AGAUCUAUCCCAUGUCCGUUGCUUAGUUAAGCUUAAAGCCGAAAACGACGCCCUUUCAUAUGUUGAGAGGGAUUUUGGUGAGUAACAAAAUGGCGGCGUUUUGUAACCUCCAAACCCUAAGUAUAAAAUGUUUAUUUUCUCCUCUCUCCCUCAUUUCCCUUUUCCAUUUUCUCUCUCUACCGUCCGACUCUCUCACCUCUGUCUAAAAGCCGGUUCUUUUCCUGUCGUCUCCCGUGCCUCCGAUAGUCCCUGAUUUAUUCUUCUUUUUUCUUUUCCUCCCCUCUGUCUUGGUCGACUUUCUCCCUCAUCGACGACAGCUCUCUCGUUCGGUGCUCUCACCUUUGUCUAAAAGCUAGUCAGUCUUUUUUCGACGCUCUCCCAUGUCACCGACGUCUUUACCAACCGGAACAAAACUAGCCACAUAUGGGGUAUGCAGAGAACUAAAGGUGAGUAACUCUUUUGGAUACCUUAAAAGAUUUUCUUAGUCAACAACCACAAUUGACUUUCACUGAAAAUUUCAUAAUCGUAGUAUAGGUUGCAAAGGGUGGUUAGCAAUUGCCUACCUUUAUAUGAAUAUUUAGCAAUAAUUUUUUAAGUUUAGUUUAUAAUAUAAAUAAAUGAUUUCUAAUAUUUAGAAUUAUGGGUAAUUUUGGCCAGUAAACACUACAAUUAUAGUUAAAAUCUUAAAUAAUAAUAAUAAUAAUAAUUAAUUCAAGAAAGAAAUAUUCUCAGGUAAAUUAAUCAAAAAAAUUAAUAUAAAAUUAUGUUGAAUCCGUAUAAGAUAAAACUUGAACAUAUUAAGACUAUGCCACCAAAAGUCUUCUGUUAUUUAAGCAAAAGAUUUAUAAUGGCAUGCUGGUAAAUAGGUAUGAAUAAAUUUCUAAUGGCUUUUAAAAAAAGAUUAGUGUUUUUCUUAUCAAUCUGACCAAAUUUUAUAAAUAUUAAAAUCCUGCCAAAUAACCUGGUGACAAGGACAAUACCAAUGGUUGUGGCACAGAGCAACAACUUUAGCCACCAUCACUUUCUGUUUUAGAGUUUAUCCUCUAGUCCUGGUGUGUCUCGCAUGCGGGUGUCUAUGAAACAUCAUGGACAAAUAGUAUGAAAGAAUAUCUAUUUCCUUCGAUUUGACAAAUCCCAUCGAUUCCAAACAACCAUUAACAAGAGACAAAACUCUCUUGGCACCACCAUCACUCACCUCUCUUUUUAGUCUUCAUUUAUCCUCCACUAAUAAUUUUUUAAGUUUAGUUUAUAAUAUAAAUAAAUGUGUAUUUUUAAUCUUUGUUUCGAUGGUUCAGCAAAGAUAUCGCUGAUCCUAUUAAUGAAAAUUAACAUGGUUUAAUUGAUGAUUACAACAUGGCUGAGGUGAAAUGACAAACAAAUAUUAGGUUGGGACUCUUCGAGGAAUCAAGGGGGAAGUAGUAGCCUGUGCGAUUCAAGUAGGAUGUCAAAGCUAGGAGUAAUAUCGUUAAUGAGAAAUGCACUUGUCAUAUAUAUUUAAAUAUGUUAGUUUUAAAAUUAUUAUAGUUUUGAUUAUGACAAAAUGAUGAAAUUUGCUUGAAUAUUAUUUAAGUAAUCUUUUUGACAAAUUCUUGAAAUGAUUUAACUCUCAUACAUUUAUUCUUACAUACACACAAGCUUGACUCUUGAAGUUAUUGAACUAUAUCUAUAAGCUUGUAUGACUUAAGUAUAUGAGUGCUUAUGAUUCCUAUUCAUUAAAGUUUGAUUUAAAGAUUAAAAGAAAAUCUAGAUGCACUCAUUAAGGGGGAGUUUUAAAUAUCUUUUUUAAUGAUGGCAAAAAAAAAAAAAAGAGAAAAAGGAAAAGUAAGUUAAAUUGAGUGUGAUAGGUCUUCAUGUUUAAUUUAUGUGUGUGAUGCUUAGUUAGCAUUUUAUUGAAUAUUAUGUGCUAGUUAUUAUGGAUAUUUAAUAUAUCUUGCUUAGCUACUGUGGGCAUUGUAUAUCUUGUUUAGCUGUCAUGGAUAUGAUAAAUAGUUUAUUGCAAAUCUUUAAAGAAAACUAAGAGCAUAUAUUAAGAGGGAAAAAUCCCUUAACUGCACAUAGAAACAAAGUUAACAUAGAUNAAGGAAAAGUAAGUUAAAUUGAGUGUGAUAGGUUUCCAUGUUUAAUUUAUGUGUGUGAUGCUUAGUUAGGAUUUUAUUGAAUAUUAUGUGCUAGUUAUUAUGGAUAUUCAAUAUAUCUUGCUUAGCUACUGUGGGCAUUGUAUAUCUUGUUUAGCUGUCAUGGAUAUGAUAAAUAGUUUAUUGCAAAUCUUUAAAGAAAACUAGAUGCAUUGACUAAGGGGGAGCAACUCAUUAUGCAUAAAGAUUUGAAGCAUUUAUAUUGAACAUAGACAUUGCACUUUUAAUCUAGGAGUGUUUUGUCAUCAUCAAAAAUAAGAGAAAGAGAAUGUUGACUCUAUAUGUUUUUGAUUAUAGCAAAAUAUUCCCAUUUAUUUGUGUCUAAUGCCUUUACUUGAGUGUGUAAGAAAAUUAAUAUAUGAAAUUAAUAAAUCAAUCUUUCAAAGUGUAUAUCAAAAGAAAAAAGGAGAUAAAAAUAAUAUGACAUGACUAUUUAACAAAGAGGAAGCUUAUUGGUGAAAUAAGGAAGAACGUUGGUUGACCAAGUUUCAAGUUGGAGAAAUGGCGGGUUGAAGAGUUUGAGAAACAAAACCAACUUAGUCGACCAAGUCAGUUGACUAAGUGGUCUCUGCCAAGAUAUACAUACCAAAAACAGAAUCAACUUAGUCGACCAAGUCAGUCGACUAAAAGCUCUCUGUUUGUAAUUUGAACCAGAGCACUACAAGGCAGAUUAACAGCUAGAACUCAUCCUCAACCGUUUCCAACGGCCAUAAACUGUCAAACUGCCAUCAGAGUUGCAUCUCCAAGUAUAAACAGGUCUUCAAACAAUUAGAAACAAGUUUUUGGAAGUUUUGAAGAGAUUUGAGUCAUUAAGAGCUGAAAAACUAGAGAAUUUUCUCUUCACCUCACUGCACUUAAACGCCCAUCCUUUAUACUUGUAUUCUGCACUCAACCUUAUACCAUUUAGAUCAACUUGUGAUCAUAGGUACUUUCUUUUACUUUUUUUCUUGUAUUCUUAUAGUGAGGGAGUCACUCUAAGUGUUUGUUUCAAGCUAGGAUUGCUUGAAUGUGUUAAGGUUCUAACUUAGCCUUGAAAAGUUAGUUGUUGGGUUUUGGUUGAUCUCGUGAAAAACCAUUGUUGUAGAUUGUGGUUGAGCCUUUGAAAAAUCACUUUGGGUUUUGGUUGAGCCCGUGAAAAACCAUCGUUGUAGGUUGUGGUUAAGCCUUUGAAAAACCACUUUGGGUUUUGGUUGAGCUUGUGAAAAACCAUUGUUGUAGGUUGUGGUUGAGCCUUUGAAAAACCACUUUGGGUUUUGGUUAAUUUCGGUAAAAACCAUUGUGAAAGGUUUUGGCUGAGCCUGGUAAAAGCCAUUGUAAAGCUUGGUGAAAGCUUGUGAAUUUCACCGUUCUUAGUAGAUUGAUUGGAAAAUCCUUGGUUGAACAAUCAAGGUAGUGGAUGUAGGCCUUAGACCGAACUACUUUAAAUUCUGUUGUCAUCUUUACUCUGUUUUUGUUUCAUUUUCUUUCCUCUAUUUGUCUCGCCCUUAUCUAGACUUUGAGACAAUAUUUGAAAGAGCCAAAUUGUGCUAUUCACCCCCCUCUAGCACAUAUUAUUGGGACCAACAAGUGGUAUCAGAGGUAGUUCCCUAUUUUUAAGGUCUAACACUCUUUAGGAGGAUCCAAAUGGCUCUCAAAAAAUCCAUAGUUGUUGAGGGACAAUCAACAAAUAGACCACCUCUGUUUGAUGGCUCUAACUAUCUUUAUUGGAGCACUAAGAUGUCAAUUUACAUUAGAGCUAUAGAUGAUGAGAUUUGGGAUCUCAUAAUCGAUGGUCCUUUCAUUCCUUCAACACUAAAUGUUGUAACCAAUAAGCUAAUUCAUAAGCCAAGGUCCAAGUGGACAGAAGCUGAAAUAAGGAGAGUACAAACCAACUCUAAAGCCAUGCAUACUCUCAUUUAUGCACUUAAUUAUAGAGAAUAUGAUAAAGUGUUCAUGUGUAAAAGUGCUAAGGAAAUUUGGUAAAAAUUAGAAGAGUUAUAUGGAGAAACGAAUAUGGAAAAGGAAUUGGAAGACAACUCUUGCGAGGAUCAAUGCUCAACAAGCAACAUGGCAAAUGGAGACAAGGAAUCAAGUGAAGAUGAAUCCUCAAAUUGAAUUGAAUUAUGCUUCAUGGCUCUUGAAGAGUUAAAGGUAACUUCUUCAUCAUGUGAACUUAAUUCAUGUGCUUUCUGUCACGACCCGGUACUCCCCUCGAGCCCGUGACAACCGUCUCGGUGUCCUGGUAGACACUUAUUGCUCGAAAUGUCAACCCGAAACCCCGCAAGGCUUUACUAUCAGUUUCUCUAUUCCCUUGUGAGCAACCAUUGUCAAAUAUCGUAUUCUAAAAGAUUUUAAGCUGUUCCCAACUUUAAACAAAUAAAAUAUUAAUUUUUCGUCUCACAAGGGUAUUUUGGUCAUUUUUCUCAAAAAUUUUAAAACUGGCUAAAACGUAAUAUACAAGUACAAAACACACAAUUCAUAUUCAAAAUGAGUUUAAAAGUCUAAAAUCUUCAUUUAAAACGAAAUUAUGGUUAUUUGAAUAUAAUAAGAAAAUAAAAGAAAUAUUAAGUAAAAUAUUCUAUUUUCUUAUAAAACAAUAUUUAUAGAGUUAUACGUGAAUAAUUUUUAUAACGUAAAAGCUAAAUAAAUUUAUACAUACUUAAAUACAGUAAGCCAAAAUAUUUAAUUUAAUUUACAAUAACAAGAGUGCCCCCGAAUAAACAAAAGUAAAGAGGACUGUGAACCUACGGUUUGGAAAAUGCAGAUCCCACUGUAGUCCUCGAUGAGAUCAGCUAUCUACAGUCUAUACUGAACCUGAAAUGGGUGGAAAGGAGGGUGGUGAGAUUAUAAAAUCCCAAUGAGUAAACAAACAUCAUCAUAAACAUCUAGAGUUGAGUACAUGGAGACAAUAAAGUAAAUCAUCAUAAACUGGGUUAUAGCAUUAGAACACAUUUUGUUCAAAACACGUAAAGAGGCUUAUGAAUCUCAUAAAAAUCUAGGCUUGUGCCAUAAAUCCAUUCUCGGGGACACCUUGGCCGAGGCAUCCUACCGAGACCGCCAAGGCUAUUAAAAUUCACAUUUCACAUAAAUCAUGUUUUUGUUUUGAAAACAUAGCCGUUCCUUGGCGUUGGCUGAGUUCCCCCUCACGUGGUGGUUUAGCGUGAAGUGAACCCUAAACUUUACCCCAGGAGAUACCCUACGCGCCUCUCCGUUCGAGGUAAGAAUAUAAUGGGGUUUACCGUGCCCCUCUAAAAGGCUGGUCCACAGAAACCCCCUACUGCAGUGAUUAAUUAAUAUAUAAUCCACCAUAUAAUAAAACUCAAUAACAUGAUAUGGCAAUUUUGUAAUUCGUAGUUUUUCAAGGUAACCAAACAAUUCGCAUUUCAAUACAAUUGCCAACUAGCCAAUCAUGCUCGAUUUAUCAUAAGCCAGUUAAUUUAAACAAUCAAAUUGCCACAAUUAACAGUCUCCGUGUACUCUAUUUUUCAAAAUCACUAUUAAUUUCAAAACAAUUUAUAAUUUAAUUUCAUUGAAACUCAUUUAUUCAUAAAACAUGAAAAUUUAUCUUUUUAAAUUCCUUUUUCCAUAGAAUUCAUGAAAGCAUCUAAAAACCACCCUAGAUAAUUAAAAUGACAGUAAGUUUACUCACAAUGUCUAGAAUGCAGACUUUCGAAGCACUCUGUCUACUGGUCCUCGGAUGCAAUUUCCUUGCCUUUAUCGGAGGACUCACCACCUUGACACAGUACAAAAUCGAGAGUUUCACCAAGUUGGUACUAAAUCAAAAUUAAACUAAUUUAGACUACCAAUGCAUGAUAUGGAAUGCAAAAAUGCACUGGUAACUAUCUAAACCCGGUAUUGGCCUAAUUCGUCUUAUCACCCGAUUAAAUUCCUAACGGGUCCGUUUAAACUCCAAUUUAAUUCUUUUCAGUUUCUAUACCUCAAUUGCACCCAAAUUAACUUAAUGUCCCUCAGUGUGGUGCAAAUUAUCAGUCCCAACAGCAAAUUACGAAAAUACCCCUAGUGGGUAAAAAUUCGUAUUUUUGCUCCGAAAAUUCCCAUUAUUUUUCUAGGCUCAUAAUUCAUUAUUCCUUAACCAAUUCUCCUAGAAUAAAAUCAAACUCAUCCUCACUCACUACAUGGUAAAUUCAGCCAUUAAUGGUUGGGGGAGAAAAUAAAUUCUUUUCUUGUUGUUUUGUUUCUAAAUAUGCUAAACUAACUAAAAACACUAACAUAAAUUAAAAUCAAAUAAAUCCAACAACUUUCUCUCUCCUAACCCAUUUUUUCAGAAUUGAAUUCAUCAUGAAAACAUGUAAUUUAAUCAUGGAAAAUAAAGAGAAAUGCUUGGGAAUAAGAAAACUCAAGCUUAAUAAAAAAAACUCACCUUUUUCACUUAAUUUCCUUGAAAAUUCACACUUUUUCUUUGAUUUUCUCUCUCUAGGGUUUUGUUUUUGUUUUCUCUCUCUUCUUGCUGGUUUGGCCGGCCAUGGGGUGGAAGAUGGGCUGAUUUUGUGCCUUUUAAAAAGGAAAAUAAUAAAUUAAUAAAGGCAUGACACAUGGCAUCAUGUCAUUGGCCCGUUUUUAAAAUUUUAAAAAUUUAAACAUUUUAUCUCCACCACAUGUUUAGUCAAGGGUCAAAGAUGAAGAAAAGGAAGACCAUGUGCUGGAAAAAAUAUCCUGGUGGUGGAAAAUUACAAUUUUGCCCCUGAGGUGGCAAAAUUACCAUUUUACCCCUAUACUCCAAAUUAUACCGAAAUUAAAAUUUUUCACUUCUAAACCUCAAAUCAUACUUCAAUAAGUCAAAUUAUACUCUAAUAAGUCAAAUGGGGUCAAAAAAAUCUUUUCUAAAAUUCCCAUUUUGUCCCCAGGUGGCAAAUGACCAUUUUGCCCCUAGUUAGUGAAAAUUCCGAUUUGACUCCAAAUUGAUCCUCAAACUCCAAAUUACCAUUUUAAGUCAUCCAUGAACUGUGAAACUCUUAAUCUCACCUUAAAAUUCCUAUUUGAUCUAGUUCGAGGAUUAAAUAAACUUUGUUGUACCUCUAGGUACAAUACCGACUUUUGUAAAUUUUUCGGGACUCUCCUAGCAUGCAAUCAUGCUAUCAUCACAUGUAUGUCAUGAAUAGUAUUUUAUAAGGUCGGGCUUUACAGCACUACCCCCCUUAAAAUAAAAUUUUGACCUCAAAAUUUCACUUACCUGAUUCGAAUAAAAGAUGUGGAUAUUGGUUUCUCAUCUGGCUCUCGACUUCCCACGUCAUCUCCUCCAUUCGAGCAUUCUUCCACAAUACUUUCACCAUUGGAAUGCUCUUGUUCCUUAGCACUCGAUCCUUUCGAUCUAGAAUACGUACAGGCUGCACCUCGAACUUCAAAUCCUCAUGCAACUCAAUGGGAGGUGUCUCUAAAAUGUGAGAGGGAUCGGGAACAUACUUUUUCAACAUCGAGACAUGGAAGACAUUAUGAAUUCGAUCUAACUCUGGGGGUAAUUCAAGUCUGUAAGCCACUGGCCCAAUCCUUUCAAUGAUACGAAAAGGUCCAAUGUAUCUUGGAUUGAGCUUUCCCCUCUUCGCGAAUCGAAUCACACCUUUCAUCAUCCAAUAAAUACCACAAAUUAUCACAAUAGUAUAAUCAAAUAAGAUUUAAUACUUGGAAAUUUCAAAUUAUUACCUUUCCAAGGAGAAACCUUAAGAAAAACUUUAUCGUCGACUUCAAACUCCAAAUCUUUCCUUCGUUUAUCCGAAUAAUUCUUCUGCCUAUCUUGAGCUGUCUUUAAUCGCUCUCGGAUAACUUUGACCUUAUCGUUUGUCAAAUCAAUCAAUUCCACAUUCACCAAUUUCCUCUCACCUACUUCAUCCCAACAGAGCGGAGUUCGGCAUUUCCUUCCAUACAAAGCCUCGUAUGGUGCCAUCCCAAUACUAGACUGAAAACUGUUAUUAUAAGCAAACUCCACCAAUGGCAAGUGUCUGUCCCAACUCCCGAUAAAGUCAAUGACACAAGCCCGUAACAUAUCCUCUAAUGUCUGAAUAGUUCUCUCAGAUUGACCAUCUGUCUGUGGAUGAAAGGCAGUACUAAAUCUCAAUUUAGUUCCAAGAGCUUCCUGAAAUUUCGGCCAAAAUCGAGAAGUAAAUCGAGGGUCUCGAUCUGACACAAUAGAAACUGGGACUCCGUGUAAUCUCACAAUCUCAUCUAUAUAAAGUCUUGCCAGCCUCUCAAUAGAAUACGUGCUAUGGAUAGCCAAGAAAUGGGCGGACUUAGUCAAUCUAUCCACAAUCACCCAAAUAGCAUCCUUCCCACUUUGUGUCCGCGGCAAACCCAAUACAAAGUCCAUAGUCACAUGUUCCCACUUCCAUUCAGGAAUCGGUAAAGGUUGAAGAGUACCUGACGGUUUUUGAUGCUCCGCCUUGAUCUGUUGGCAUGUGAGACAUUUCGCUACAAACUCUGCUAUGUCUCGUUUCAUACCCGGCCACCAAUAACUUUCUUUAAUAGUCCGAUACAUCUUGGUGCUUCCGGGAUGUAAAGCGUAGGCGGAAGAAUGAGCUUCCUCCAAAAUAGCUCGUCUCAAUUGAUCAUCCUUAGGAACACAAAUUCGGUCUCUAAGCAUGAAAGUACCAUCAUCGCUGAGUCUAAACUCACUAGCUUCUCCAUCUUGCAGCUUUUGAACUUCCUGUUUCAACCAAUCAUCAGAUUUCUGCAAUUCUCUUAUCUGAUUCAACAAUGAAGGUCUCACGACGAAACUAGCAAGUAGGGUUCCAUCCUCACCAUUAUUCAACUGGAUCCCUAGAGAUUUCAUCUCAAGUAACAUCGGAAAAUAAGAACUUUGAAGUGUUGCUAACGACGAUGAGGAUUUACGACUUAAGGCAUCCGCUACAACAUUUGCUUUUCCCGGAUGAUAAUCAAUCACUAAGUCAUAAUCCUUAAUCAACUCCAACCAUCGUCUCUGUCUCAAGUUAAGCUCUUUCUGGGUGAGCAAAUACUUCAAACUUUUAUGAUCAGAAAAAAUCCGACAACGCUCACCAUAUAAAUAAUGUCUCCAAAUCUUCAAUGCGAAUACUACUGCUGCUAACUCCAAGUCAUGAGUAGGGUAAUUCGUCUCGUGCUUCUUCAACUGUCGGGAAGCAUAAGCUAUUACUUUCUCGUCCUGCAUCAACACACACCCUAAUCCCAACUUAGAUGCAUCGCUAUAUACCACAAAUUCUUUUCCACUAACAGGAAGUGUUAAAACGGGAGCGGAGGUUAACCGGUUCUUUAGCUCCUGAAAUCGAUUCUCACAAACAUCAUCCCACUCAUACUUAACUCCUUUACGAGUUAAACGAGUCAGAGGAGCUGCUAUCAAAGAAAAUCCCUGAACAAAUCUCCGGUAAUAACCGGCUAAGCCAAGGAAACUACGAAUCUCAGUUACCGUUCUCGGUUGCUCCCAUUGCAAGAUUGCCUCAAUCUUCUUGGGAUCGACAUAAAUUCCAGCUCCGGACACCACAUGUCCCAAGAAAACCACUUCCUUCAACCAGAAUUCACAUUUAGAGAACUUGGCAUAGAGUUGUCUCUCGCGCAAAGUUUGCAACACAAUGCGCAAAUGGGCAGCAUGUUCAUCAUCAUUCUUCGAAUAAACCAGGAUGUCAUCGAUGAAUACUAUCACAAACUUAUCCAAGUAUGGAUGGAACACCCUGUUCAUAAGAUCCAUAAAAACUGCCGGGGCAUUAGUCAAACCAAACGGCAUCACCAGAAACUCAUAAUGCCCAUAACGCGUCCUGAAAGCAGUCUUAGGUACAUCCUGCUCCUUAAUCCUCAACUGAUAGUACCCAGAUCUCAAAUCAAUCUUAGAGAAUACCAUAGCACCUCGUAAUUGAUCAAAAAGAUCAUCUAUCCGGGGUAAAGGGUAUUUAUUCUUGAUGGUCACUCGGUUCAGCUGACGGUAAUCGAUACACAAUCGAAGAGUGCCAUCCUUUUUCUUUACAAAUAGGACUGGUGCUCCCCAAGGAGAAAUGCUAGGGCGAAUGAAACCUUUAUCCACCAAAUCUUGCAACUGGACUUUCAGUUCCUUCAACUCUGCUGGAGCCAUUCUAUAUGGAGGAAUAGAAAUAGGUGCGGUACCCGAAAGUAAAUCAAUAGGGAACUCAAGCUCUCGAUUAGGAGGUAGUCCCGGUAAAUCAUCAGGAAAUACAUCAGGAAACUCACUUACUAUUGGGACAUCCUCUAACUUAGGUUCCCCCUUUGAAGUAUCGAUCACGUAUGCCAAAUAAGUCGGAUACCCUUUUUGCACUAAUUUUGAAGCUUUGAUGGCCGAGAUUACACAAGAUGGUAACACUUGACGUUCCCCUACAAACACAAUCUCUACUCCCUCCGAAUUUCGAAGAACAACUUCUUUUUGAAAAUAAUCCACGUUCGCCCGAUGUGUAGUUAACCAGUCCAUACCCAAUAUUAAAUCAAAAUCCAAGAUCUCUAGAGGAAUUAAGUCAUCCCUAAAUUCUUCCUCACCUACCCUUACCCCACAGUCUCUAUAACAAGUAUUUCUAAUCAACUAUUCUCCUAGAGGGGUAUGCACUACAAUUUCUCCCUCUAAUGGUGACAGGUUUCUAUCAGCAAUUGAUGCAAAUGUCGUACUCACAUAAGAUCUAUCUGAGCCAAAAUCUAUCAAAACAUAAGCAUCUUUAUCAAAUAAAGACAUAGUACCUGUCACUGCUCCAGGUCGGACCCGUGCCUCAUCUUCUGUUACAGCAAAAACUCUUGUCACAGUACGAGUCUGUGGUCUCGAAGGUGGAUGUGACGGGGUAUUACUCUCCACACCAGACCGUAUGGCUACUCCCUGUCUCGGUGGUAACCUAGAAGAAUCUUUCCUCUGCAUAUCAGUGCGAGCUGGUGGAGAUGAUGCAGCUAUAGUGGCUCGUCCUAACUGUGGGCAAUUACUCCUAAUAUGACCCGUCUGUCCACAUUGAAAACAUCUUGUUGGCUCUCUACAUAGCCCACUAUGAUAAUUCCCACAAUUUCUGCAUCUGUCAGAACCUCCGAAACUCUGCCUAGAACUAGUCAUAGCAGAUCUGCUAAACCUCGAAGGUCUCUACUGUGAUGGUGGAAAUGGAGGUCGAUGAGAUGUCACGGAAACAGAAGUAGUGCUCCCUGAAGUCGCUGAGUCCUUGCCUCUUUUUACUGGCUGACUAGAAGACAUACCAGGAUUCUUUCUUUUUGCAAACUCAGUCCGAAUCCUCCUAUUCUCAAUCGUGAGCUUCUCAACCUGUAAAGCCAUCUGUACCACCUCCUUAUGUGGCUCCCUACCAGUCACUGUCAUUCGCUCUCUAAUCUCAUUACGGAGCCCUUCCUCGAAAUAGCUGGCCUGAUCCUACUCAGAUUUCACCAGAUCCGGCACAUAUAACAUCAACUCGUUAAAACGAGUCUCGUACUCCUCUACAGUUAGAUUUUCCUGUUUCAAACUAAAAAAUUCUCUCUUCUUUUCUUUUCGAUGGAAAUAAGUGAAAUACUAACCAUCGAAUUCCUUGAGAAAAUCGGACCAUGUCUGAGAAGUAGCGGAACGGGACUUCACCGAAUUCCACCAAGUACGAGCCUUCUUCUCUAAUAAUCUCGUAGCCACCAUCAACUUCAUGUCGUCGUCUAAUCCCAUAUCAGAGAGAGUCUCUGAAACUUGAUUAAUCCAGUCAUUUGCCAUAGUGGCAUCCAACUCACCUGUGAAAGAUACACAACCCAAUUGCCUAGCCUCCUUCAGCUUCUUGGAAAUGGAUACAUCCUGUACUGGUGGUGGAACUAAAGGAGUAGCUGGAGGCACUACAGGUGGAACUUGACCAGUCUAAGCUUGACCAGCCAUUGCGGCAAAGAAAGCUGCCAAUGCUUGUGCUACCUCAGAAGGCAUGGCGGGAAUACCCGUAGGUGGCUGAAGAGAUGGAGGAUGUGGAGGACUAUCGGCCUGCUCAGCAGCAAGUGUUGCCCGAAUGGUAGAUGCAGCUGAUUCCUCCUCUACUGUAUCUGGCUGAUGACGUUGGGAACGACCUCUUCCCCUCCCAACUGAUCUAGUGAGAGGUGGGCGUCCGCGUCGAGGAGGCAUUGUAAUCUAUAAACAAAUACGAGCAAGUUUAGGUAACCUUAGGCUCUAUAUGCAGAUGCAUGCAUUCUAUUCAACUUAACCUAACUUAACUUAAUCCGGGGCCACACUGAUAUUGUAAAAUUUUUAAAACAACUUUAAAACUAAAAACUUUGAUCUUUAAAACCAAAAGCUCUGAUACCAAUCGAAUUGUCACGACCCGGUACUCCCCUCGAGCCCGUGACAACCGUCGCGGUGUCCCGGUAGACACUUAUUGCUCGGAAUGUCAACCCGAAACCCCGCAAGGCUUUACUAUCAGUUUCUUUAUUCCUUUGUGAGCAACCAUUGUCAAAUAUCGUGUUCUAAAAGAUUUUAAGCUGUUUCAAACUUUAAACAAAUAAAAUAUUAAUUUUUCGUUUCACAGGGGUAUUUUGGUCAUUUUUCUCAAAAAUUUCGAAAUUGGCUAAAACGUAAUAUGCAAGUACAAAACACAUAAUUCAUAUUCAAAAUGAGUUUAAAAGUCUAAAAUCUUCAUUUAAAACAAAAUUAUGGUUAUUUGAAUAUAAUAAGAAAAUAAAAGAAAUAUUAAGUAAAAUAUUCUAUUUUCUUAUAAAACAAUAUUUAUAGAGUUAUACGUGAAUAAUUUUUAUAACGUAAAAGCUAAAUAAAUUUAUACAUACUUAAAUACAGUAAGCCAAAAUAUUUAAUUUAAUUUACAAUAACAAGAGUGCCCCCGAAUAAACAAAAGUAAAGAGGACUGUGAACCUACGGUUUGGAAAAUGCAGAUCCCACUGUAGUCCUCGAUGAGAUCAGCUAUCUACAGUCUAUACUGAACCUGAAAUGGGUGGAAAGGAGGGUGGUGAGAUUAUAAAAUCCCAAUGAGUAAACAAACAUCAUCAUAAACAUCUAGAGUUGAGUACAUGGAGACAAUAAAGUAAAUCAUCAUAAACUGGGUUAUAGCAUUAGAACACAUUUUGUUCAAAACACGUAAAGAGGCUUAUGAAUCUCAUAAAAAUCUAGGCUUGUGCCAUAAAUCCAUUCUCGGGGACACCUUGGCCGAGGCAUCCUACCGAGACCGCCAAGGCUAUUAAAAUUCACAUUUCACAUAAAUCAUGUUUUUGUUUUGAAAACAUAGCCGUUCCUUGGCGUUGGCUGAGUUCCCCCUCACGUGGUGGUUUAGCGUGAAGUGAACCCUAAACUUUACCCCAGGAGAUACCCUACGCGCCUCUCCGUUCGAGGUAAGAAUAUAAUGGGGUUUACCGUGCCCCUCUAAAAGGCUGGUCCACAGAAACCCCCUACUGCAGUGAUUAAUUAAUAUAUAAUCCACCAUAUAAUAAAACUCAAUAACAUGAUAUGGCAAUUUUGUAAUUCGUAGUUUUUCAAGGUAACCAAACAAUUCGCAUUUCAAUACAAUUGCCAACUAGCCAAUCAUGCUCGAUUUAUCAUAAGCCAGUUAAUUUAAACAAUCAAAUUGCCACAAUUAACAGUCUCCGUGUACUCUAUUUUUCAAAAUCACUAUUAAUUUCAAAACAAUUUAUAAUUUAAUUUCAUUGAAACUCAUUUAUUCAUAAAACAUGAAAAUUUAUCUUUUUAAAUUCCUUUUUCCAUAGAAUUCAUGAAAGCAUCUAAAAACCACCCUAGAUAAUUAAAAUGACAGUAAGUUUACUCACAAUGUCUAGAAUGCAGACUUUCGAAGCACUCUGUCUACUGGUCCUCGGAUGCAAUUUCCUUGCCUUUAUCGGAGGACUCACCACCUUGACACAGUACAAAAUCGAGAGUUUCACCAAGUUGGUACUAAAUCAAAAUUAAACUAAUUUAGACUACCAAUGCAUGAUAUGGAAUGCAAAAAUGCACUGGUAACUAUCUAAACCCGGUAUUGGCCUAAUUCGUCUUAUCACCCGAUUAAAUUCCUAACGGGUCCGUUUAAACUCCAAUUUAAUUCUUUUCAGUUUCUAUACCUCAAUUGCACCCAAAUUAACUUAAUGUCCCUCAGUGUGGUGCAAAUUAUCAGUCCCAACAGCAAAUUACGAAAAUACCCCUAGUGGGUAAAAAUUCGUAUUUUUGCUCCGAAAAUUCCCAUUAUUUUUCUAGGCUCAUAAUUCAUUAUUCCUUAACCAAUUCUCCUAGAAUAAAAUCAAACUCAUCCUCACUCACUACAUGGUAAAUUCAGCCAUUAAUGGUUGGGGGAGAAAAUAAAUUCUUUUCUUGUUGUUUUGUUUCUAAAUAUGCUAAACUAACUAAAAACACUAACAUAAAUUAAAAUCAAAUAAAUCCAACAACUUUCUCUCUCCUAACCCAUUUUUUCAGAAUUGAAUUCAUCAUGAAAACAUGUAAUUUAAUCAUGGAAAAUAAAGAGAAAUGCUUGGGAAUAAGAAAACUCAAGCUUAAUAGAAAAAACUCACCUUUUUCACUUAAUUUCCUUGAAAAUUCACACUUUUUCUUUGAUUUUCUCUCUCUAGGGUUUUGUUUUUGUUUUCUCUCUCUUCUUGCUGGUUUGGCCGGCCAUGGGGUGGAAGAUGGGCUGAUUUUGUGCCUUUUAAAAAGGAAAAUAAUAAAUUAAUAAAGGCAUGACACAUGGCAUCAUGUCAUUGGCCCGUUUUUAAAAUUUUAAAAAUUUAAACAUUUUAUCUCCACCACAUGUUUAGUCAAGGGUCAAAGAUGAAGACAAAGGAAGACCAUGUGCUGGAAAAAAUAUCCUGGUGGUGGAAAAUUACAAUUUUGCCCCUGAGGUGGCAAAAUUACCAUUUUACCCCUAUACUCCAAAUUAUACCGAAAUUAAAAUUUUUCACUUCUAAACCUCAAAUCAUACUUCAAUAAGUCAAAUUAUACUCUAAUAAGUCAAAUGGGGUCAAAAAAAUCUUUUCUAAAAUUCCCAUUUUGUCCCCAGGUGGCAAAUGACCAUUUUGCCCCUAGUUAGUGAAAAUUCCGAUUUGACUCCAAAUUGAUCCUCAAACUCCAAAUUACCAUUUUAAGUCAUCCAUGAACUGUGAAACUCUUAAUCUCACCUUAAAAUUCCUAUAUGAUCUAGUUCGAGGAUUAAAUAAACUUUGUUGUACCUCUAGGUACAAUACUGACUUUUGUAAAUUUUUCGGGACUUUCCUAGCAUGCAAUCAUGCUAUCAUCACAUGUAUGUCAUGAAUAGUAUUUUAUAAGGUCGGGCUUUACACUUUCAAUGAAUUACAUGAUGCUUUUGAGGAUUUAGCUUUUGAGUUUGAGAAAAUGAAUAUAAAGAACAAGAAAAUCAUUUUCACACUCGAUGUUGAAAAUGAAUUUUUGAUGAAAACAAAAAUUGAUUUGGAAAAAGAAAAUGAAAAUUUAGAAAAGGAUUUUAAAGCUUACCAAGUGCAAAUUGAUUUUUUGGAAAAAGGAAAUUUUGAUGUGAAAAUAAAAUUUGAAGAUUUAUUAAAUGAGAAAGUGGAAGAAAGAUCAAACUUGUGCUUGAUGGCCAGAGAUGAUGAAUCCGAGGUGUUUUCUACUUCUUGUGAUAUUUCAAUUGAUGAGCUGCAAGAUGAAUAUGAAUGUCUCUAUGAUGAGUUUGAAAAGCUUGCAUCAAAAUAUAAAACUUUGAAAAGAAAAGCUGCAUCUCUUGAAAAUGAUUUGGAAAAGAUAAGACAUGAUUCAACUCUGUUUUUAAGCAAAGAAAUUUUUUGUAAAUUGAAUUAGAACAUUCAAAAACAGAUUUUGAAAAUCUACAAUUGGAGUUGAAAAACAGAAUAGAUGCUUUACAAGCUGCAGUUGCUGAAAAUACUGCUCUUAAGAAUUUAAGAAAAGAAUCAUCAAGAAAUAGCACAAAUUUCAUAAGAAAUGCUAAUGAUUUCUCCCCUAGAUGCUUUGUAUGUGAUAGAACUGGACAUUUAUCCUAUGAUUGCUUUAGGAAAAAAAAUGUGCAGAAAAUUAGAAAAAUUUGGGUUCCAAAGGAACUUUAUGCAACGAGACUAACUUUCAAGGAUCCAAAGCAAUUUGGAUACCAAAUAUCAAAUGAAAAAUGUCUCUUGUAGGUGUGCUAGAGCAAGGAGAAACAAUUCUUGAAGAAUGGAUGCUCUCUAGUCACACAUAAAAGAAAAUGGGUGAUUUCUAUGCUAAUUUUUUUUUUAAUGAGAAUCUUGAUUGCUUAUUUAUUGAAUGUUUCAUUCAUUUGACUUGGUUUCUAAAAUUGUUUGCUUUUCUACAUUGAAAUUUUGGUUGUCUAUUCUUGCUUGAAUGUUAAGUGCAUAAUUCUUUGAGCUUUAUUGAUCAAUCUUGGCUAUGCAACUUGAUUUGAUAUGAUACAAGCUAUAAGUUGCAAGGAAGUAUGAAUCUAAAAAUGAAGUAUGUACUUAUAUUUGAUCUUGAAUAUGUCAUCAUCCUUAUUUUGAGAAAAUUGUUUUAUUAAGAUUGAUUGAUUAUGAAAAAUUGUCUCUAUAAAAUUUCCUCAUGAUUUAUGACAUUGUUUCUAUACUACUUCUUUGAGGAAAAAUGAUUUUUGCGCAUAAUUUUGAAACAUAAAAGGUUGGAUAAUGCGAUAGAAAUAUGAGCAUACUUGAUGACUUACACUCACAUUUAUUCAAGUAGCCUAAAACAAGGAAAAUUGAGUUAAAAAAAAUUGUCCUUGAUUUCCUUGUGCCUAACAUAAGUCGACCAUUUGAACAAUCUUGAUUUACAUUCUAGAACUUGUUUGAAUAGUUCAAGAUGGUUGAUAAUGAGCUUGAAAGUUUUGACUACUUGAAUUGGUACUUUUAAAAGCAAAAUGAGUUUAUAUGAGAAAAACGUUGCCAUCUUUUAAGUUUAGAAUGAUAUAUGAAUUGAACAAGUUUGUUUCAUAAUGAAAAAUACUUAUGACUUGUUCUUAUUGGAUGUGCAUAUUCGCUUGUAAGCUUGAAUGGUCACAAGGGCAUUUUUGGAACAUAAUUGUGAGAUAUUUGCAAAUGACCCUUGACAUGCAUUUACAUGAUUCAUUAUGCCCAUUACAUAUUUCAUAAAUCAUUUAGAGCAUAAUGAAACAAAAUUGAGUGACAUUGAGCUCAUGAUUUUUCACAAAGCAAGUCUAAUCUUGAAUGUUUCAAGUUAAAAAGUUUGCAAAGAAAGAUUAAAUCUUUAUCAAUUAAUUUUCUUGCGAAAUCUUUUUAUUCUCUUUGAUUGAAAUUAAUUCUUUACUUUUAAUGACAUAGCAUGAUUGAGCAAACUUGAUUUGAUAUAUUUAUAUAAAUUGCACAAAUUCGAUGUUGCUUCAUAUUUCUCUUAUGAUUGGUGAAAUUGAUUGAAAGGGAUUUCUUAAGCAUGAUUUUGAGUGUAAUAAUUUAACAUUGAUGGAAUUUUUCAAGCAAAAGAACAUAUCUAUUUGCAAUGUUUGGCAUCCUUGAGAUUAUAAUGAUUUCAAUGAUAUAAAACUUGAACAAGCAAACCUUGUGUUGAAAAUGCCAUUAUAUCUUGUUCUUGUUACAAAGGAUUGCUAGAAUAACCUUAAGGGCAUUUUUGUCCAUAUGCUGGAAAACUGUAGAAAAUGCUAAAUUUGAUGCUUAUUAUGCUUAAACAUUGGUUAAGUACUUGUUAUACAUGUUAUAAUUCAUAGUCACGCAUCAUGAUGUAAAUUGAAUAUGUUUGAGCAUAUUAAAGGCAUGAUUCUUUAAAUGAGCAUUUCAACUUUUUAGCAUUUGUGAACAAUGAGCAAUAAAAGCCAAAAUUUGAGUUCACAUGUUUUCUUGAAAAAUCUUUGAUCAUACAUGUCCAAAAAGAUGUUCCAAACAUGGUUGAAAUGAAAUUCUAAAUUGUUCUCACACAAAUCCAUGUUUUGAGAUCAUUAUACCUUGGAACAUUGCAUGUUUUGCACCUUUUUUUGGCUUUUCAAUAUGUAGGAAUCAAGCAUAAUUAACUCCUUAGCAUAGCUAGUCGACUAUUGGAGAACAAAAUGCAAACAAUGCUGCUGCUAGAAUGAUAAAAAGUGGACCCCAAGGAUAUGUAGUCGACUCUUGAAUGCUCUAAAGCCAAAAUGGACAGGUUUUGAGUUCCAAAAUGUCUCCUUACAUUACUUCUUGUCCUUGCAAUAUUUUCUGCCCUGAAUUUCCUUGUCAAAGAUGAUUCUUGACUCUUAAAAACUUGCAUUGUGAAUACUCUCAUGAUCAUUUGGUGCAAGUACAUGUUCUUGAAAUUGUAAAACUUGCUGAAAAAUGGGAAAUCCUUUUUGAUGACAUAAAUCUAUCUAUUCUCAAGCAUGACACUCAUAUUGAUUCCAUAAAUUCUCAUGUAUUUACAACAACAAAAUAGAAAUAUGAGAAAUUGUUCGCCAAUGCUUGAAUUUGUUAAUCUGAUUGGAUUUUCAUGUGCAUAUAUUGAAAAUAUCUUCUCAUGAAAAUUGAAAUGUUCAAAUGCUAAUCUAGGAACAAUUCUUGAAAUAUAUUUUACGUUUGUGCUCAAAUGAUUGUUUCAAAAUUGAUUUCUUGAUUAUGCAUACUUAUUUGAUUAGGAUGAACUCAUUGAACUUAGUGAAAAUAUUCUUGGUUCAUCUACUAUAUUGGUCAAGACACAUGCUUACAUGAUUUUUCAUUUUGCUUGACCUUAAGGUUUGAAGUUUAAAACUUGACUUGAGCUAUACAUUUGAAAAUGAAUUUAAUUGUCAAGUUUGAUCAUGGCAUAUAUAGUGAGUUGACAUAGUUGAAAUUUAUUUUAAAUAUGCAUUUAAAUGUUAACUAUGUUUUCAUUGAGCCUUAACGUUUACAUGAUCUAAAGAUUUUAUGUGCAUCCAACUUUAGCUUAUAGGUCACCGUAAACAACUUGACAUGUCAAAUAAAAUAUGGCCUAUAGCUUUAGUUAGCAAUGAAUGCCUAAUGUGCUUUGAUUAAAUAUAUCUUUUUUUUUCUUGAUAAUUGGUAUUCAUUGAUGAUUGAAUGUUCACUUUGCAUAUAUUCAUGAGUUGAGUGCUUUACUUUCAAUAUUCUAUAACAAUUGAUUUCACUCAUGAAUUAUGAAUAAUUGAGAAAUUGCAUGUACCUUGAACUUUAAUGGUUGCAUAUUUUUUCAAUGGGUAUAUGUCUAUAUUGAAGUCAUGCUUGCAUUUUGAUGAACAAAAUUGGAAUCAUGAUUAAGGAAGAUAGCCAUGUUAUUUCUUGUAACCAUGUUUGUGCUUAUUUGAUCAUAACUCUCAUACAUGAUUGCAAUAAUGCAAAAUGCCUUAGUCAUGCUUCGUUAAUAAUAAUAUGCCUUCUUUGAAAGUUCUCCUUGAAUUAACAAUUUCAUAUAUAAUAUGGAGAAUACAUCUUGCAAUGGUUGCUUCAAAAUGAUCUGGAUGAAUGAUCGCUCGGAAUUGAUUGGGAAGAAUAUUCACUAAAAAUGCUUAGUGAUGAUAUUUUUUAAUUUCUCCUUGAGCUGCUAUUUUCAUGUAUGAAUUAGAGAAUUUCCUAGAAAUGCUUGAUUGAUAUAUUUCUUGGCUAAUUGAUAUUGAGACUAAAUAAUGAAUGUUUGAUGACGAUUGAUAAUACUUGAUGAUAAUUGAGAAUAGUGCUUGAAGAUUAAUGAUACCUUAGACAUGCCUAGGAACUACUUGGCAAAUACUUCUUGAAAAUAUGAGUAUGUGAUGAAUAUGUUGAACAUCCAUUCAAAUGCUCAUAUUUUUUUGGUUCCAUGAAUACUUGAGUAUUAGGGAAAUAAAUUGAAUAUCCAUAUGAAUGCUCAUUUAUUCUAGGCUCAUGAUUUCUCUCCUAAUAUUUGAUCUAUUGAGUAUCUCUAACAUUUUGUGUUGAGCUUAUGAUUUCUUAAAGGGGAGUCAAUCAUUGUCAUUGAUAUCAUAACGAAUUAAGAUCUUCAACAACAAGGUUUGGUGAGAAUUCAACAUUUGGUGUUCUUCGCUACUGGUAACAUCUUGCUAAACACCAAAAUAGAUAUUGUGUCUUAUAUCGCCUCUCACUUAAACUUGAAUAUUGAAAUGCAUAAUUGGUAUCAAGCCUUAAGUUUUCUCAAUUAGUGUCUAGCUUUAAAAUUAGCAUCAAGCUUUAUAAUUGUCUCUUCUCCCUUGUGCUUUAAAAUGAUCCUAUCUUUAUUAAAUGUUUUGAGCCUUGAAGUUGAUAUGCUUGAAAUGCUUAGUGAUAUGGGAAGUCUUUACUAGUGCUUUACCAAUUGAUAUAAUGAGCUUUAAAAUGAUUCCAUCUCUCAUAAUUGAUAUUGUGCUUUUACAAAAGAGGAGAUUUUACUUACAUCUAUCAAUUGGUUUAUUGAGCUUUAACACUUGGUAUUGGAGUUGAAAUAUUGCUUAUGUGCUUAUUGAACAUCUUUAUGCUUAUCUUUCUUGAACUUCAUAAAUGUUAUUUUUCUUAGUGACAUGGUUGAGGAUAUUAAGUGCAUAUAUAUGAUGACUUGGUGACUUUGUGGUUACAUAUCCAUAGUCUUAACGCUUAUAUUCUUGAUGGACUUUCAUAACCAUUGUUUCUUGAGCUUAAGUGUUUAAUGUUCACUCUUCUUAACCUUUUUGAUAUAACAAAAAGUGUCACGACCCAGAACUCCCAUCGAGCCCGUGACAACCGUCGCGACGUCCCGAUAGACAUUCAUUACUCGAAAUGUCAAUCGAAACCUCACAAGGCUUAACGUUAGUUUUUCUCACUUCCCCCAUGAGUAUUAGUUGCUAAAAUCAUGUUUUGAGAGAUUAUAAACUAUUUCCAAUUCAAAACAAUAGAAAAAUAAAUUUUUCCUCACAGGGGCAUUUUGAUCAUUUUUCCUCAAAAAUCUCGAAAUUUGCUAAAAAUGUAGUAAGCGAGUACAAAACACAUAAUUCAUAAUAAAAAACGAGUUUUAAAAUCUAAAAUCUUCAUUUAAAACGAAAUUACGAUUAUUUAGAUAUAAUAAGAAAAUAAAAGAAAUAUUAAGUAAAAUAUUCUAUUUUCUUAUAAAACAAUAUUUAUAGAGUUAUACGUAAAUAAUUUUUGUAGCGUAAAAGCUAAAUAAAUUCAUAAAUAUUGUAAUACAGUAAGUCAGAGUAUUUAAUUUAAUUUACAAUAACCUGUGGGCCCCCGAAUAACCAAAAGUAAAGAGGAUUGUGAACCUACAGUUUGAAGAAAUGCAAAUCCAAGGGUAGUCCUCGAUGAACUCAGCUAUCUACAGCCUAAUCUGAACCUGAAAUGGGUGGAAAAGAGAGUGGUGAGAUUUUAUAAUCGCAGUGAGUAAACAAACAUCAUCCGAAAUAUAUAAAGUCGAGUAAAAGGAGACAAUUAUAAUAUUUCAUCUCAAUAUGUAUUUCAUAACAUAAAUAUUUAACAUGGCUUAUGAGUAUCUUAAAAGCUUGGCUCCUGCCUAAAUCAUUCUUGGGGAUACCUUGGCCGAGGCAUCUAACCGAGUCCGCCAAGGCUGUUAAAAAGUUCGUAUACACGUAAACAUAUUUUUAGUUUGAAAAACACAGCCAUUCCUUGGCGUUAGCGGAGUUCAUCAUCACGAGGUGGUUCGGCAUGACGUGAACUCUGUCCAUACCUCAGGAGAUACCCUAUGCGUCUCUCCGACCGAGGUACAUAUAUAUAUAUCUGGAUUCCGUGCCCUUCUAAUAGGCUGGUCCAUAGAAUCCGCCUACUGCAGCAAGCUAAACCCACCGUACAAUAAAAUUUUGACAACAUGACAGGGCUAAUAUUUUACUACCCAGUCUGUAAGGGUAAAAUAAAACAAUUCAUACGAUUCAUAAAACACAGCCCAGCCAGUCAUGCCAACACAAUAACAAUAUAACAUAAGCCAUCAAUUUCCAAUCAUAAAUUUACAACAUACCAGUGGUCUCCAAUUACUCUAUUUUCAAAAUCGUUAUAUCGUUUCAAGACAAUUUAUAAAAUCUUUUCAUUUAAACACAUUUUUGUUUGCAAAACCUAAAAUUAGCCAUUUAACUUAUUUUUAUAAAAUUUCACCAAAACCGAGUUAAAACAUACUUUAGAUAAUUAAAAUGAUGAUAAGGUUACUCACUAUUUCGGGGAGUCGAAUUUCUAGAGUACUCUGACUACCGAUCCUCGAGUACAAUUUCCUUACCUUUAUCGAAGGAUUCACCACCUAGACAUAGUACAAAAUUGAGAAACUUACUACAUUGGUACUAAAUCAAAAUUAAACUAAUUUAGACUACUAAUGCAUGAUAUGGAAUGCAAAAAUGUCCGAAUAGCCGUUUAAAUACGGUAUUCGACCUAAUUCGCACUAUUCCCAGUGUAAUUGGCUAAAACCUCCAAUUUAACUCCAAAUCGAUUUACUUCACUUUCUACACUCCAAUUAUACUUAAAAUACCUCAAUGACUAUGAAAAUAAUUCAAUGUAUCAGUUCGAACCAUAAAUCGCACAUGUCUAUACAUUAGGUAAAAAUUCAAAUUUUCAUGCCAAAAUUUCCCAUUAAAUUUCUAGCCUCACCAAUCAUUAAAUACCACCAAAAUAUCAUGAAAUAUCAUCAAUUUCAGCCUCAAUAUCCUCCCUAGAAAAUUCAGCCUCUUGUGGGUUUGUGAAGAACAAAGUGAUUUCUUGCUAGAUUUUCAUACUUUCCAUUACUAAACAACCAAAAACACUUAAUUAACUUAAAAUCUAGCAAAAUCAAUGCUCAAAACCUCUCCUCUCAAAUUCAGCCAGUAGGGGUUCAUCAUGAAAACUUGAGUUCUAAGCAUGGAAAAUGAAACAGAAAGCAUGGGUAGUGUAAAUCACAAGAUAAAAUCACAAAAUUUUACCUUUAUUAGCUUAAUCCCUUGAAAUCCCACACUUUUUCUUCAAUUUUCCCACCUAGAUUUUGUUCUUUCUUUGUUCUUCUUCACUUCAUGCUUUGGCUGGCCAUAAUGAAGAAAAUAGGCUAAUUUUUGUUGAUUUUAAAGAUAAAAAAAUAAAUGGAUAUAAACUUGACACAUGUCACCAUCCCAUUGAUCUAUUUUUUUAAACUUAACAAUUAAGCAAUCUCUCUCCACCAUUUAAAUUUCCUUCAAUUAUCCAUGAUAAUAUUGGAUAAAAUCCAUGUGCUGGAUAAGUGUCCGGUGUGUAAAAUUACAAUUUUACCCCUGGGGUGACAAAAUUACCAUUUUACCCCUAUGCUCCGAAAAAUACCUAAAUUACAAUUUUUUUCACUUCUCAACCUCAAAUCAUACUCUAAUACUCAAAUUAUACUCCAAUAAGUCAAAUGGGGCCAAAAAAAGCUUUUCUAAAAAUUUUCAUUUUGUCCCUAGGUGGCAAAUGACCAUUUUACCCUUGGAUAGUGAAAAUUUCGGUUUGACUCCAAAUGGAUCCUCAAACUCUGAAUUACCAUUUUGAGUCAUCCUUGGACUGUGAAGCUCUUAAUUUCGCCUUUAAUUUUCUAUGUGAUCUAGUUUGAGGCUUAAAUCAACUUUGUUGUACCUCUAAAUACAAUACCUACUUUUGUAAAUUUUUCGAGACUCUCCUAGCGUGCAAUCAUGCUAUCAUAACAUGUAUGUCAUGACAAGUAUUUUAUAAGGUCAGGCUUUACAAAAAGGGGGAGAAAGUUUAUGAGCAAAUUUAAUUUUAUGCAUAUGUUGAGGGGGAGAUUUUAAAAUCAUUUCAAAUGCAAAUUAUGCUCAUAGUUUUGUCAUAUCAAAAAGAGGGAGAUUGUUAGCUUUAAAAUUAUUAUAGUUUUGAUUAUGACAAAAUGAUGAAAUUUGCUUGAAUAUUAUUUGAGUAAUCUUUGACAAAUUCUUGAAAUGAUUUAACUCCCAUACAUUUGUUCUUACAUAGACACAAGUUUGACUUUUGAAGUUAUUGAACUAUAUCUAUAAGCUUGUAUGACUUAAGUAUAUGAGUGCUUAUGAUUCUUAUUCAUUAAAGUUUAAUUUAAAGAUUAAAGGAAAAUCUAGAUGCACUCAUUAAGGGGGAGUUUUGAAUAUCUUUUUUAAUGAUGACAAAAAAAAAGAGAGAAGGAAAAGUAAGUUAAAUUGAGUGUGAUAGGUUUCCAUGUUUAAUUUAUAUGUGUGAUGCUUAGUUAGGAUUUUAUUGAAUAUUAUGUGCUAGUUAUUAUGGAUAUUCAAUAUAUCUUGCUUAGCUACUGUGGGAAUUGUAUAUCUUGUUUAGCUGUUAUGGAUAUGAUAAAUAGUUUAUUGCAAAUCUUUAAAGAAAACUAGAUGCAUUGACUAAGGGGGAGUAACUCAUUAUGCAUAAAGAUUUGAAGCAUUCAUAUUGAACAUAGACAUUGCACUUUUAAUCUAAGAGUGUUUUGUCAUCAUCAAAAAUAAGAGAAAGAGAAUGUUGACUCUAUAUGUUUUUAAUGAUAGCAAAAUAUUCUCAUUCAUUUGUGUCUAAUGCCUUUACUUGAGUGUGCUGAACAUUUAAUUUAUGAAAUUAAUAAAUCAAUCUUUCAAAGUGUAUAUCAAAAGAAAAAGGGAGAUAAAAAUAAUAAGACAUGACUGUCCAACAAGGAGGAAGCUUAUUGGUGAAACAAGGAAGAACAUUGGUUGACCAAACUUCAAAUUGGAGAAAUGGUAGGCUGAAGAGUUUGAAAAACAGAACCAACUUAGUCGACCAAGUCAGUUGACUAAGUGCUCUUUGCCAAGAUCAGCAAACUAGAAAUAGAAUCAACUUAGUCGACCAAGUCAAUCGACUAAGAGCUCUCUGUUUACAAUUUGAACUAGAGCACUACAAGACAGAUUAACGGCUAGAACUCAUCCUCAACUGUUUUCAAUGGCCAUAAACUGCCAAACCACCAUCAGAGUUGCAUCUCCAAGUAUAAAAGGGUCUUCCAACAAUUAGAAACAAGUUUUUGGAAGUUUUGAAGAGAUUUGAGUCAUUAAAAGCUGAAAAACUAGAGAAUUUUCUCUUCACCUCACUACACUUAAACACCCAUCCUUUAUACUUGUAUUCUGCACUGGUAAAUUAUUAUGUUUUAAAAUUGAAGUGUUAGUUAAACGAAAUGAGAUUUAUAACUUGUUUUGAAAUUGAAUACUGGUUUUGGAAAUUGAGUAAGUGGAGACUAUAUACUCGUGUUUGAUAUAUGGUCUGAAUUAAUGGCUUAUGAUAAUGUGAUGGCAUGAAUGGCUGGAUUUGUGUUUGUGUGGAAUAUAUGAACUGUUUUGUUUUACCUUGACAGGCUAGGUAAUAUCAUAUUAGCCAUGUCAUGCUACCAAAAUUUUUAUUGAUUUGGUGGGGUAAGUGAUUAGCUUACUGCAGUGGGCGGGUUUCCGUGGACCUGCCUAUUAGAGGGGCACGGUAAACCCCGUUAUAUUUUACCUUAGUAUGAGAGGCGCGGAGGGUAUCUCCUAAGGUAGUUUAGAGUUCACUUCACGUAGAACCACCACGUGAGGGUGAAACUCAGCCAACGCCAAGGAACGGUUACGUUUUUAAACGUAAAAACAUGUUUUUUGUGUAUAUGUUAAUUUAAUAGCCUUGGCGAACUUGGUUGGAUGUGCUGCGUAAGGUAUUACCGAGUACGAGUUUUGGCACAAGCUAAGUUUUAAGAUAGUCAUAAGCCAUGCUGAUUAUUUUUGAUGAAAUGUAAUUGUUUUAUAUUGUUGAAAUGAGUUUUAAUGUUAUGAAUCAUAUUAUGAAGAGAUGUUUUAAUUGUCUCAAUUUACUCGACUUUAGAUGUUAUAGAUGAACUUUGCUUGCUCACUAGGUUUAUAAAAACUCACCCCUUUCUUUUCACCCAUUUCAUGUUCAGAGCAGUGUCACGACUCGGUACUCCCCUCGAGCUCGUGACAAUAGCCGCGUUAUUCGGAUCGACACUCAUUACCCAGAAUGUCAACCGAAACCUCGUAAGGCUUUAAUAUCAGUUUCUCUUUUCCCCGGUGAGCAACCGUUACCAAAUAUCAUGUUCUAAAAGAAUUUAAACUAUUUCCAACUGAAAUCAAUAAAAAAAUGAUUUUUGUCUCAUAGGGGCAUUUUGGUCAUUUUUCCUCAAGUUUCAAAACUAGUUAAAAAUGUAGUAUGCAAGUAUAAAACACAUAAUUCAUAAUCAAAAAUAAAUUUAAACGUUUAAAACUUUCAUUUAAAAUGAAAUUAUAACUAUUUGAAUAUAAAAAAGAUAUAGAAUAAAAUAUUCAAUUUUCUCAUAAAAUAAUAUUUUUAGAACACUGCAUAAUUAAUUUUUACAACGAAAAAGUAAAAUAAAUUCAUAUAUAUUGUAAUACAGAUAACCAAAGUAUAAAAUUAAAUUUGCAGUGACACGUGGGCCCACGAAUGACCAAUGGUAUCUAGAGAGAUAAACCUACAUAUUUUGAGAAUGCCAGUUCAAUUGUAAUCCUCGAUGAAAUGAGCUAUCUACCGACUAUCAUGAGCCUGAAAUGGGUGGAAAGGAGGGUGGUGAGAUUAUAUAAUCCUAGUGAGUAAACAAAUAUCAUUUAAAAUAUCUAAAGGAGAGUAGAAGGAGACUAUUAAAACAUUUCAUCCAAAUAUGUUAUUUAUCAUUUUUCAACUUAUUUCAACUAAAUGAAAUUAAUUUAUUUAAAUCAAGUAAUCAGUAUGGCUCAUGAAUUUCUUAAAAAAAAGCUUGGCUCAUGCCAAAUAUUAUUAUCAUACUCAGUUAUCUAGGAUACCUUGACUGAGGGCUAUCCUAACUGAGUCCGCCAAGGCUAUUAGAAAGUCAUGUAUGCAAAAGUCAUGUUUUUAUUUUGAAAACAUAGCUGUUCCUUGGCGUUGGCCGAGUUCCCCCUCACGUGGUGGUUUGGUAUUGUCAAGCCCUACUUUAUAAAUACUUAUCAUGAUAUACAUGUGAUAGCAUGAUUGCAUGCUAGGAGAGUCCUAAAAAAUUUACAAAAGUAGGUAUUGUACCUAGAGGUACAACAAAAUUGAUUUAAGCUUUGAAAUAGAUUAAAUAGGAAUUUUAAGGUGAAAUUAAGAGCUUCAUAGUCCAAGGAUGACUCAAAAUGGUAAUUUGGAGUUUGAGGAUUAAUUUGGAGUCAAACUGGAAUUUUCGCUAUUCGGGGGUAAAAUGGUCAUUUGCCACUUGGGGACAAAAUGGAAAUUUUUAGAAAAGAUUCUUUAGCCCCAUUUGACUUAUUUGAGUAUGAUUUGAGUAUUGAAGUAUGAUUUGAGGUUGAGAAAUAAAAAAAAAAUUGUAAUCCUGAUAUUUUUUGGAGCAUAGGGGUAAAAUGGUUAUUUUGCCACCCUAAGGGCAAAAUUGUAAUUUUACACACUCGACACUUAUCCAGCACAUGGAUUUUAUCCAAUAUUAUCAUGGAUAAUUGAAGGAAUUUAAGUGGUGGAGAGAGAAAGCUUAAUAGUUAAGAAAUUACAAAUGGACCAAUAAUAUGGUGACACGUGUCAAGUUAUUAUCCUUUUUUUUUUUAGCUUUAAAAUCAGCAAAAAUCAGCUUAUUUCCUUCAUUAUGGCUGGCCUAAGCAUGAAGUGAAGAAGAACAAAGAAAGAACAAAACCUAGGUGGGAAAAUUAAAGAAAAAGUAUGGGAUUUUAAGGAAUUAAGCAAUCAAAGGUAAAAUUUCUUGAUUUUGACUUGUGAUCUACCUUUCCCAUGCAUUUCUCCUUAUUUUCCAUGGUUAAAUUUCAAGUUUUCAUGGGGAAUUCAUGGCUGACCAAAUGGGUAUGGAGAGAGAAUGAAGUUGGAUUGAUUUGAUUCUAAGUUAUGUUAGUGUUUAUAGUUAGUUUAGCAUAUUUAGAAACAAAACAAUAAGAAAAAAUUCAUUUUCUCCCAUUACCCAUAAGAGGCCAAAUUUUCUAGGGAGAAUAUUGAGGCUGAAAUUGAUGAUAUUUCAUGAUAUUUUGAUGAUAUUCAAUGGUUGGUGAGGCUAGAAAUUUAAUGGGAAAUUUUGGCAUGAAAAUUUGAAUUUUUACCUAAUGUAUAGACUUGUGCAAUUUAUGGUUUGGAUUGAUAAAUUGAAUUAUAUUCAUAGUCAUUGAGGUAUUUUAAGUAUAAUUGGAGUGUAGAAAGUGAAAGAAAUCGAUUUGGAGUUAAAUUGGAGGUUUUAACCAAUUACACCGAGAAUAGUGCGAAUUAGGUCGAAUACCGUAUUUAAAUGGCUAUUCGGACAUUUUUGCAUUCCAUAUCAUGCAUUAGUAGUCUAAAUUAGUUUAAUUUUGAUUUAGUACCAACGUAGUAAGUUUCUCGAUUUUAUACUAUGUCUAGGUGGUGAAUCCUCCGAUAAAGGUAAGAAAAUUGUACUCGAGGAUCGGUAGUCAGAGUACUCUAGAAAUUCGACUCUCGAAAUAGUGAGUAACCUUAUCAUCAUUUUAAUUAUCUAAAGUAUGUUUUAACUCGAUUUUGGUGAAAUUUUAUGAAAAUGAGUUAAAUGGCUAAUUUUAGGUUUUGCAAACAAAAAUGUGUUUAAAUGAAAAGAUUUUAUAAAUUAUCUUGAAACGAAAUAACGAUUUUGAAAAUAGAGUAAUUGGAGACCACUAAUAUGUUGUAAAUUUAUGAUUUGAAUUGAUGGCUUAUGUUAAUGUGUUGGCAUGACUGGCUGAGUUGUAUUUUUGUGAACUGUAUGAAUUGUUCUAUUUUGCAUUUGCAGGCUGGGUAGUAUUAUAUUAGUCAUGUCAUGCUGUCAAAAAUUUAUUGUAUGGUGGGUUUAGCUUGCUGUAGUGGGUGGAUUCUGUGGACCAGCCUAUUAGAGGGGCACAGAAUCCAUAUAUAUAUAUGUAUCUCGGUCGAAGAGGCGUGUAGGGUAUCUCUUGAGGUAUGGUUAAAGUCCACGUCAUGCCGAACCACCUCGUGAUGAUGAUCUCUGCUAACGCCAAGGAACGACUGUGUUUUUCAAACUAAAAAUAUGUUUUCGUGUAUACAAAAUUUUUACAACCUUGGCGGACUCGGUAAGAUGCCUCAACCAAGGUAUCCCCGAGAAUGAUUUUGACAGGAGCCAAGCUUUUAAAAUACUCAUAAGCCAUGUUGAAUAUUUAAAUAAAAUGAAUAUUUAUGUUAUGAAAUACAUAUUGAGAUGAAAUAUUUUAAUUGUCUCUUUUUACUCAGACUUUAGAUCUUUUGAAUGAUGUUUGUUUACUCACUGGGAUUAUAAAAUCUCACCACCCUCCUUUCCCUCCAUUUCAGGCUCAGAUUAGACUGUAGAUAGCUGAUCUCAUCGAGGACUACCGUUGGGUUUGCAUUCUUCAAACUGUAGGUUUAUAGUCCUCUUUACUUUUAUUUAUUCGGAGGCCCACUUAUUAUUAUAAAUUAAAUUAAAUACUUUGGCUUACUGUAUUACAGUAUGUAUGAAUUUAUUUAACUUUUACGCUACAAAAAUUAUUUACGUAUAACUCUAAAAAUAUUGUUUUAUAAGAAAAUAGAAUAUUUUACUUAACAUUUCUUUUAUUUUCUUAUUAUAUCCAAAUAAUCGAAAUUUCGUUUUAAAUGAAGAUUUUAGACCUUAAAACUCACUUUUGAUUAUGAAUUAUAUGUUUGGUACUCGAAUAUUACAUUUUAGCCAGGUUUGAAAUUUUUAGGGAAAAAUGACUAAAAUACCCCUGUGAGACGAAAAUUAUUAUUUUAUUUGUUUUGAGUUUGAAACAGCUUAAAAUCUUCUGGAACAUGAUUUUCGACAACGGUUACUCACGAGGGAAAGGAGAUACUGAUAUUAAGCCUUGCGGGGUCUCGGUUGGCAUUCCGAGAAAUGAGUGUCUAUCGGGGUACCGUGGCGGUUGUCACGGGCUCGAGGGGAGUACCGAGUAGUGAUAGGCUUGAAGUGAACUCUAAUAGUGUUAGCCUCAUAAGUUAUCCACCUGCGCCUCUCAUACUGAGGUAAGAUAUAACAGGGUUUACCGUGCCCCUCUAAUAGGUCGGUCCACGAAAACUCGCCCAUUGUAGUAAGCUAAUAAUUAUCCCACCAAUCAAUAAAAUUUUGACAGCAUGACAAGGCUAAUAUAAUACUAUCCAGCCUGCAAAUGUAAAAUAGAACAAUUCAUACAAUUUAUAAAACACAGCCCAGCCAGUCAUGCCAACACAAUUCAUACAAUUUAUAAAACACAUCCCAGCCAGUCAUGCCAACACAAUAACAUAAGCCAUCAAUUUCAGUCAUAAAUUUACAACAUACCAGUGGUCUCCAAUUACUCUAUUUUCCAAAACCUUCAUUUCGUUUCAAGACAAUUUUUAAAAUAUUUUCAUUUAAACCCAUUUUUGUUUAUAAAACCUAAAAUUUGCCAUUUAACUCAUUUUCAUAAAAUUUCACCAAAACCAAGUAAAAACAUACUUUAGAUAAUUAAAAUGAUGAUAAGGUUACUCACAGUACUAGGAGUUCAAUAUACCCCUAUUCUUGGUCUUCGGGCACAAUCUCUUUACCCUUGUUAGAGGGCUCACCACCUAUACAUCAUACGUGACACGAAUUUCAAUAAAUUGUGUCAAUUUAUCAUAAACUAUUUCAGGCUCUCUAAAUCUAAAUGAAUACAUGCGAUGGGAUGCAAAAUGUCCGAUUAAUCACUUAAAUGUGAUAUUUGACCUAAGUUACAUUAUGCUCGGUCUAAUCGGCUAAAAUCUCCAAUUUAACUCCAUAUCAAUUCUUCUCACUUUCUACACUCCAAUUAUACCUAAAUUACCUCAGUGACUGUGAAUGAGAUUCAAUUUAUUAGUUUCGGGUCAAUAAUCACACAUGUUUAUACGUUAAGCAAAAAUUUAGAUUUUCACACCAAAAUUUCUCAUUUAAUUUCUAGCCUCACCAAACAUCAAAUAUCACCAAAAUAUCAUGAAAUAUCAUCAAUUUCAGCCAUAAUAUCCUCCCUAGAAAAUUCAGCCAAUGAUGGGUAAUGGGAGAAAAUGAAUUUUUCUUGUUGGUUUGUUUCUAGACAUGAUAAACUAACUAAAAACACUAACAUAACUUAGAAUCAAAUCAAUCCAACUUCAUUCUCUCUCCAUACCCAUUCCAAUCAGCUAUGAAUUCACCAUGAAAACAUGAAAUCUAACCAUGGAAAAUGAAAAAGAAAGCAUGGGUAGUGUAAAUCACAAGUCAAAAUCAAGAAAUUUUACCUUUAUUAGCUUAAUCCCUUGAAAUCCCACACUUUUUCUUCAAUUUUCCCACCUAGGGUUCUUGUUUUUUUUUCCUUUCCUCCUUUUUUCUUCUUUGGCUGGCCAUAUGAAUGAGAAAUGGACUGAUUUUGUAUUAAUUUUAAAGCUAAAUAUUUAAUGGUUAUAAAUAUGCCAUGUGUCACAUUUCAUUGGUCCAUUUUUAUUUCUUAAUUAUUAAGCUUUCUCUCUCCAUCAUAUAAUUUUCUUCAAUUAUCCAUGAUAAAAUUGGAUAAAAUCCAUAUGCUGGACAAGUGUUCUGGUGGUGAAAAAUUACUGUUUUGCCCUUGGGGUGGUAAAAUUAUCAUUUUACCCAUACACUCCGAAAAAUACCGAAAUUACAAUUUUUCACUUCUCAACCUCAAAUCACACUCCAAUAAGUCAAAUAUGAUCAAAAUAUUUGAAAACAAAUUUCCCAUUUUGUCCUCGAGUGGCAAAAUUACCAUUUUGCCCCUAAAUAGUGAAAUUUCUGGUUUGACUCCAAAUUAAUUCUCGAACUCUGAAUCACCAUUCUAAGUCAUUCUAAGACUUUAAAAUUUUCAAUUCACCCUAAAAUCUCUAUUUGAUCUAGUUCGAGGCUUAAAUCAACUUUGUUGUACCUCUAGGUACAAUACCGACUUUUAUCGAUUUUUCGAGGCUCUCCUUGUAUGUAAACAUUCAGUCAAUCACAUGCAUGUCAUGACAAGUAUUUUAUAGAGUCAGGCUUGACAUCUUCUCCCCCACUUGGAUCAACCAUAUGAUCCUUCUUCAUGACUGAUUUCGACAUCCGGCUAAAUAUUAAUAUUUUAAUAAUAUUUUAUUAAUAAAAUAUUAUUUUAUUCUAAAAACUUUAUCUUGUCUUUUUGGUUCCUAGAGUUCCUUAUUAUGCCUCAAUUCGCAUCCAACAAACUUUCUUUAUCACCAUAUCAAAGUAUGGGGCAUUUCAAGCAGUUUGUAGACAAUCGAUUUUAUCGAGGGUUUGCUUUUGGAUUUGCACACUUAAAAAUCGUAGGUCUACAGUCCUGUUUAUUUUUUUUAUUUUGGGGGUCAAAUAUCAAUGUAAAAUACUUUUGUAUACCCUGGCGCUGUGUGCUAUUAUGUAUACGAAUUUAUUUUUUUAUUACGCUACAGAAAUUGUUUAUGUAGAAUUUUAUAAAUAUUGUUUUAUAUGAAAAUGAAUUAUUUUAUCCAAUAUUUUUAUUUAGUUCUAUUAGUUAUAAAUUCACUUUAAAUGGAUGAUUUAGAUACCUAAAUUUAUUUUUAGAUAUGAAAUGUAUAUUUUUCAUUUAUAUGUUAUAUUUUUAGUAGGUUUCGAAAUUUUCAGAUAAAAUGACCAAAAUACCCCUGUGUUGUAGAAAUUACUUUUUGAUUGUUUUUUAUUUGAAAAUAGUCUAUAUUCCUUUAAAACAUGAUGUUUAGUAACUAUUGCUCAUAGGGGAGGCAGAAAACUAAUGCUAGAGCCUUGCGAGGUUUCGGUUGACAUUUCGGGUAAGGUAUGUCUAUUGGGACAUCGCGGCAGUUGUCACGGGCUCGAAGAGAGUACCGGGUCAUGACAUGAUUGUUAUGCCAAUGUCGAUUGUCACUAUAAGUAUGUAGAAUUUAAGUUUCCCAGAGAAGUCCCCUUUAUUAUUUAUGGACAUAGGAGUCCGCGCAAUAAAGGAAUAUUGGCAGGAGUUACUAGAGUGGAAACGGGAUAGAAUUACUUGGCAUGUGUGGUGGUUAAGGAAGAUGUGUUAAUGGAGGAAAAAGUUCCAGAUAUUAAAAUGGUGCCAAUAGUUAACGAAUUUGAAGACAUGGUCCCUGAGGAAUUGCCAAGGUUACCCCCAGAAAGAGAAGUUGAGUUUUGCAUUAAUUUGAUUCCUGCACGGAACCAAUAUCUAAAGUUCCCUAUUGAAUGGCACCAGUAGAAAUGCGAGUACUACGAGAGCAAUUCCAAGAGUUAGGAAAAAAAGGAUUUAUUCGUCUAAGUACUUCGCCUUGGGGAGCUCCAAUAUUAUUUGUAAAGAAAAACGAUGGAAGUUUGAGGUUAUGUGUAGAUUAUUGGAAGUUGAAUAGUGUGACUAUUAAGAAUAAAUACCCACUUCCCAAGAUCGAUGAUUUAUUCGAUCAACUGCAAGGAGCGCAAUGUUUCUCGAAAAUUGAUCUACGCUCGGGGUACCAUCAAUUAAGAGUUCGGGAGGAAGAUAUACUAAAGACUACAUUUCGUAUUAGGUACGAACAUUAUGAGUUUUUAGGGAUGUCUUUUGGUUUAACUAAUGCUCCUGCCACUUUCAUGGAUUUAAUGAAUAGAGUAUUCAGGCCCUAUUUUGGUAGAUUUGUGGUGGUAUUUAUUAAUGAUAUCCUGGUGUAUUCUCGAAGUCUCGAAGAGCAUGCACAACACCUGAGAAUGGUGUUACAAACACUUCAAGAACAUGAAUUAUAUGCGAAGUUCUCUAAAUGCGCCUUUUGGUUAGAGAGCGUUAGUUUUCUCGAACAUGUGAUAUCGAAGGAAAGGAUUAGGGUGGAUCCACAAAAGGUUGCGUCGAUCCAAACUUGGUUAAGACCAAGUACGGCUACUGAGGUUCGGAGUUUUCUUGAACUAGCCAGAUAUUAUCAUCGAUUUGUGCAGGAUUUCUCAAAAAUCACAGCACCAUUGACCAAGUUGACUCAUAAGGGAGCUAAAUUUGAAUGGAAUAACGAGUGUGAAGGCAGCUUCUUAAGACUGAAAGAGUGCUUGAUUUCUGCAUCUGCCUUAAGUUUACCAAAUGGUACCGGAGGUUAUGUUGUGUAUUGUGAUGCAUCAAGGGUUGGACUAGGAUGUGUGCUGAUGCAAAAUGGUAGGGUGAUCGUGUAUGGCUCAAGGCAACUCAAGAGGCAUGAGCAAAACUAUCCUACUCAUGACUUGGAAAUGGCAACAACAGUGUUUGCAUUGAAGAUUUGGCGUCAUUUUCUGUACGGGGAGUGCUUUGAAAUAUAUACUGAUGACAAGAGUUUGAAGUAUAUAUUUCAACAGCGUGAUCUUAAUUUGAGGCAACGCCGAUGGAUGGAAUUGCUUAAGGAUUACGAUUAUACCAUCCAAUAUCACCCUGGCAAGGUGAACGUUGUGGCUGAUGCUUUAAGCCGAAAGUCGAUGGGCUGUUUGGCACAUUUGUCUAUUAAACAAAGAAGUAUAGUACGUGAAUGGCAAAGCCUAGGCAGUAUGGGGGUCAAGAUUGCUAUUGGUGGGCCUAGUGCCCUUAUUGCUCAUUUUCGAGUACGACCAAUGAUCUUGGACCGAAUUCGUAAUGCCUAAGAACAAGGUGAAUUUGUAAUGAAAAUUUUAGGAUCAAAAGAGCGGGAUUUGAAUUAUGAGUAUGGAGAUGAGGGAUUGUUGAAGUAUGGAUCCCGAACGUAUGUGCCAGAUCGAGAUAACUUGAGAGAAGAAAUUUUGGAAAAGGCUCACGUUACCGCCUAUAUCGUACAUCCAGGAGCCACUAAAAUGUAUCAUGAUUUAAAAAUGGUUUAUUGGUGGCCAAGGAUGAAGAAGGAUGUAGUUGAAUUUAUAGCCAAGUGCUUAACUUGCCAACAAGUCAAAGCUGAACAUGGGAAACCCCCAGGUUUACUACAACCUUUGCUGAUUCCUGAAUGCAACUGGGAACAUGUGGCAAUGGAUUUUGCGACAGGAUUACCUUGUGUGAGUGGACAAUAUGAUUUGAUAUGGGUAAAUAGUGGAUCGAUUGACCAAGUUGACUAACUUCAUUCUAGUAAAAGCUAGCUAUGGGUUAACUAAGUAUGCCAAGAUUUACAAUGAUUGUAUUGUACGAUUGCAUGGAGUUCCCGUGACCAUAGUGUCUAAUCAAGGGCCAUAUUUACUAAUAAGUUUUGGAGAAGUUUACAUGGAGCUUUAGGCACUCAUUUAGACUUCAGUACUACAUAUCAUCCCCAAACGAAUGUUCAGUCAGAGCGUGUGAUACAAAUGCUCGAAGAUAUGCCAAGGUCAAUUGUAUUGGAUUUGGGAACCACGUGGAAUCAACAAUUACCUUUAGCAGAAUUCGCAUAUAAUAAUAGAUACCAAGCUAGUAUCGGGAUGGCUCAUUUUAAAGCAUUGUACGGACGAAAGUGCAGGUGUAAAGCUUGACCUUAUAAAAUACUUGUCAUGACAUACAUGUGAUGGAUAUCAUGUUUGCAUGCUAGGAGAGUCCGAAAAAAUUUACAAAAGUAGGUAUUGUACCUAAAGGUACAACAAAGUUGAUUUAAGCCUCGAUCUAGAUCAAAUAGAGAUUUUAGGGUGAAAUUGAAAAUUUUACAGUCUAAGAAUGAUUUAAAAUGGUGAUUCAGAGUUCGAGGAUCAAUUUGGAGUCAAACUGAAAAUUUCACUAUCUAGGGGCAAAAUGGUAAUUUUGCCACUCAAGGACAAAAUGGAAAAAUUUUCAAAGAUUUUGAUCACAUUUGACUUAUUGGAGUAUGAUUUGUGGUUGAAAAGUGAAAAAAUUGUAAUCUCGAUAUUUUUCAGAGUAUAGGGGUAAAAUAGUAAUUUUACCACCUUAAGGGUAAAAUUGUAAUUUUACACCACCCAACAUUUGUCCAGCACAUGGAUUUUACCCAAUAUUAUGAUGGAUAAUUGAGAAAAUUUAAGUGGUGGAGAGAGAUUGCUUAUUGGCUAAGUAUGACACAUGGACCAAUGGAAUGGUGACAUGUGUCAAAAUCUCAUCCAUUCAUUAUUUUCAUUAUAAAUCAACAUAAAAUCAGCCCAUUUCUCUUCAUAUGGCCUGCCAAAGGAAAACCAAAGGAAGAACAAAGGAAGAAAAGAAAAACAAAAACCCUAGGUGGAAAAAUUCAAGGGAAAAAAUGUGAAAAUUCAAGGAAACAAGUGACAAAAGGUAAAAUUUCUUGAUUUUGACUUGUAAUCUACCUUUCCCAUGCAUUUCUCCUUGUUUUUCAUGGUUGAAUUUCAUGUUUUAUGGUGAAUUCAUGGCUGGUCGGAAUAGGUAUGGAGAGAGAAUGAUGUUGGAUUGAUUUGAUUCUAAGUUAUGUUAGUGUUUUUAGUUAGUUUACCAUGUCUAGAAACAAAACAACUAGAAAAGAAUUCAUUUUCCCCAUCACCAUCAAUGCCCGAAACCUACCUUGUAUUGAGUGAGGAUGAGUUUGAUUUUUAUUUUAAGAGAAUUUGUUAGAAAAUGAUGAAUUAUGGUGUGGAAAAGUAGUAGGAAAAAUCACAAUGUUAAUGCACCAUUAUUGACCAAAAAUUUUAUGAAGAAAAGUGAAGAUGGUUUUGCCAAAUUUUAGGUUAUUUGACUUGAGUUUGGUGAAUAAAGGUAUUGGAAAAGAAAUGGAGCAAUUUGGAGUUAAAUUGGACGCGUUAGCCAAUUAAUCGGGUGAUAAGAUGAAUUAGGCCAAUAGUGGAUUUAGAUGGUUACCCAUGCAUUUUACAUUCCAUAUCAUGCAUUAGUAGUCUAAAUUAGUUUAAUUUCAAUUUGGUACCAAUGAAGUAAGUUUCUCGAUUUUGUACUGUGUCAAGGUGGUGAAUCCUCCGAUGAGGGCAAGGAAAUUGUACCCGAAGAUCGAUAGUCGGAGUACUUUAGAAAUUCGACUCUCGAAAUAGUGAGUAACCUUAUCAUCAUUUUAAUUAUCUAAAGUAUGUUUUAAUUCGGAUUUGGUGAAAUUUUAUGAAAAUUAGUUAAAUGGUAAAUUUUAGAUUUUAUAAAUUGUUUUGAAACGAAAUAACGACUUUAAAAAUAGAGUAAUUGGAGACCACUGUUAUGUUGUAAACUUAUGAUUUGAAUAAAUGGCUUAUGUUGAUGUAUUGGCAUGACUGGCUGGGAUGUGUUUUGUGAACUGUAUGAAUUGUUCUAUUUUAAACUUGCAAGCUGGAUAGUAUUAUAUUAGCCCUGUCAUACUGUCAAAAUUUUAUUGUAUGGUGGGUUUGGCUUGCUGCAAUGGGCGGGUUUCUAUGGACCAACCUAUUAGAGGGGCACAGUAAACCCCUUUAUUUUUUACCUCGAUUGGAGAGGUGAGUAGGGUAACUCCCGAGGUAUAACUUUUAGAGUUCACUUCACGCCAAACCACCACGUGAGGGGGAACUCGGCCAACGCCAAGAAACGGCUAUAUUUUUAAAAUGAAAACAUGAUUUAUGUGUACAUAACUUUUAAUAGCCUUGGCGGACUCGAUUUGGGAUAGCCCUCGGCCAAGGUAUCCCUGAUAACUGAGUAUGAUAAUGAUUUUGGCAUUAGCCAAGUUUUAAGAUACUCAUAAGCCAUGUUAAUGUUUUUAAAUGAAAUGAAUAUUUAUGUUAUGAAAAACAUAUUUGGAUGAAAUGUUUUAAUAGGCUUCUUUUACUCGACUUUAGAUAUUUUGAGUGAUGUUUGUUUACUCACUGGGAUUUUAUAAUCUCACCACCCUCAUUUCCACCCAUUUCAGGCUCAGAGUAGGCUGUAUAUAGCUGAUUCCAUUGAGGGCUUCCCUUGGAUUUGCGUCCUCCAAACUGUAGGUCUACAGUUUUUCUUACUUUUGGUUAUUCGAGGGCCCAUGUCACGACCCAAAUUUUGGGCCAUGACCGGCGCAUGGGCCCAAUGGACGUAGUCCUCUAAGCCCAAGCAGGCCUAAUAAUCUGACUUGUUCAUCAUUCAUCAUAAACUACUAAGUCAUAUUUCAUAACUUAGAACCAAAAUAACAUUUAACAUUUGCCAUUUCAUACUAGCAUACCAAGCAAGUGUAUAUACAUUGUCUACAACAUUUAUCUUUAUAAUUUACAUUAAACUCUUCUAUACAAAACAAUAAUUUACUCGACUUCCAAUGGAGGGACUUUGAUGAAUGUACAGCUACUGAAUGCCGAGACACCUACCAAAAGAUGUAUACAAGUCUACAAGGACACCUCGUCCUAGUUACCGACUGCCUCAUGAUCUGAAAACAUGAAGUUGAAAACGGUGAGCAUAAACCCAGUGAGUGAACAAGGAUGGGAACAAGCAACAACAACAAGGGAGAAUUUAAAAUCAUGAUGCACUUGUUUCAAAACAAUGCAAUUUAGUUCCAUUCAUAUUAAAAACCCCUCAUCAAGCCCUUAAAUGAUUAAUCAUUUGAAAAUUAUAAACCCAUACAUAGCGAACCAUUCGAAGUAUGAAAGCUUCAAUAUUGCACAAGCAAGUCAAAUACGACAACGAAUCUUUGCUGCAGUGGAAAGGCAUUCUCAACUGGCCGAGGGUUGCUCACUAAACCUCCCAAUUUUAAACUUAACUCAUUUAAUCCUUAAUGUUGGAAGUCCAUGCUCCGAUAUGGUAGCAAAGGAGUGAAAGAUAGGGCAGCAAUUGGACAAGAUAGGAGACCAAAACAGAAGGUUUUUCGUUGCAACGAGAUUGAAUCUCGCUGCAGCGAAAUUGUAGCUCAGAAACAGAAUGUUCCUUGCUGCAGCGAGAUUGAAUCUCGCUGCAGCGAAAUUGCAACCCAGAAACAGAAAGUUUCUCGCUGCAACGAGAAUGAAUUUUGCUGUAGUGAGAAGCUACAAUGUCAUUCUCGCUGCAGCGAAAAUGCAUCCUCGUUGCAGUGAGUUUUCGCCCAGCCUACCCUUUCAAAACCUGAGAGUUUCUUGCUGCAGUGAGAAUGAAUCUCCCUGCAUUGAGAAUCAGAACAUCAAGAAAAAAGUUCCCUUUUCCUUUAAAACAAAGCAAUCCUGCUAGAUAACAAAAACAACAUGUAACACAUGCAAACUCCCAAAUUUCAACAAAUCAAAUGCUCACAUUUUUGCAUUUAUAACNNNNNNNNNNNNNNNNNNNNNNNNNNNNNNNNNNNNNNNNNNNNNNNNNNNNNNNNNNNNNNNNNNNNNNNNNNNNNNNNNNNNNNNNNNNNNNNNNNNNNNNNNNNNNNNNNNNNNNNNNNNNNNNNNNNNNNNNNNNNNNNNNNNNNNNNNNNNNNNNNNNNNNNNNNNNNNNNNNNNNNNNNNNNNNNNNNNNNNNNNNNNNNNNNNNNNNNNNNNNNNNNNNNNNNNNNNNNNNNNNNNNNNNNNNNNNNNNNNNNNNNNNNNNNNNNNNNNNNNNNNNNNNNNNNNNNNNNNNNNNNNNNNNNNNNNNNNNNNNNNNNNNNNNNNNNNNNNNNNNNNNNNNNNNNNNNNNNNNNNNNNNNNNNNNNNNNNNNNNNNNNNNNNNNNNNNNNNNNNNNNNNNNNNNNNNNNNNNNNNNNNNNNNNNNCCCUAAUUGUCCAAAUGAGAUGAUGGGGCUUCCUUAGAACCUAGGAUCACAUUAGCAUAAGCAAUAGGUCAAUUUACACACUAUGAACCCUAAAAGCUAUCUCUUAGCUAGUUUUCAAUUGCCACAUUAAAUGGCUAUCUAUGUUCAGUAUCUUAAUCACUAAAAGUAAUGAACAUACUCAACAAUAAAAUAGCUCAUAAUCCCAAUUACUAGCCAUUAUUCACAACUAAAAAUCAAACUUAGUUCAUCACUUACCCUAGGGCUUCUUUGUAGUCGAAUUCUUUUCCAAUAGCUUCCAAAUCAAUGGAGUAAUUCUCUCUUUCUCUCUCUAGAAUGCCUAACUAGUGAGAGAAAGUUUGGAAAUAAGCUUUAUCAAGGGUUUUGAAGUGAGAUAGUGAAAGAAUUCAAAGGUUCUAGUAAAAAAGGCUCAAAAGUAUGAAAACUAGAGCUAAAGAAAGAAAAUCAUGCAAGCUCCAUAUCAAGCUUCCAUGGAGUUUUGAAGAAACGUGAGAGAGGAGAAGGGAAGAAGAAGACUAGCUGCUGGAAAUUCAAGAAGGUGCUGGAAAUUUCAAGAUAUUUAUAGGCCAAACUUAUCCAUUCCCAUAAAAUUACAAAAAUGCCUUUCCACCAAUUAACUUAUUCUCCUCCAAUCAUUUAUGCAAUCUUUUUGCUCUUUUAACACUGGGACAAGAUCCAUAAUGGUCUAGACAUGUUUGGGUCCAUAAAAACUUAAAAUUUUAACCCGAGGUGAAAAAUGACCAUUUUGCCCCUAUUAUGAAAAUUGUUGAAACUUCUAGUUUUCUUCGUGUUUUCAUCAGCACACAUCAUUUAUGCAAUCUUAUACCCAUUUAAACCUUAAAAUAUCAUAAAACUUUCUUCUGGAAGCUUAUUAGAGAAAAUAACGAAACUACCCCUGGCUCGUAUUAUUACAUCUAUACUUAGUUAUAAGCCUAUAGAGGUUGAGGUCUCACAGCCCACUUGUUACUGUAAAUUAAAUUAAAUACUCUGGCUUAUUGUAUUACCGUAUGUAUGAAUUUAUUUUGUUUUUACGCUACAAAAAUUAUCUAAGUAUAACACUAAAAAUAUUGUUUAGUAAGAAAAUAGAAUAUUUUACUUAAUAAUUAUUUUAUUUUCUUAUUAUAUCCAAAUAAUCAUAAUUUCAUUUAAAAUGAAGGUUUUAGACUUUUAAACUUAUUUUUGAUUAUGAAUUAUGUGUUUUGUACUCGUAUACUAUAUUUUAGCUGGUUUCAAAUUUUUUAAGAAAAAUGACCAAAAUACCCCUAUGAGACAAAAAUUAAUAUUUUAUUUGUUUUAAGUUGGAAACAGCUUAAAAUCUUUUAGAACACGAUAUUUGGCAACGGUUACUCACAUGGGAAAUGAGAAACUAAUAUUAAGCCUUGUGGGGUUUCGGGUUAACAUUUCGGGUAAUGAGUGUCUAUCGAGACACCGCGAUGGUUGUCACGGGCUCGAGGGGAGUACCGGGUUGUGACAGCAGAUCACCCAUUGAAUGGUUUGAAGUGGGAGAAAGGAGUUUGUUAGGUCCCGAUUUGGUACAUCAAGCAACUGAUGUGGUGAGUUUGGUAAAGGAACGUCUAAGGAUAGCCCAAAGUAGACAAAAGUCCUAUACAGAUAAUAGGCGUUGCCCUUUAGAGUUUCAAGUGGGAGAUUUUGUAUUUCUAAAGGUAUCUCCAUUAAAACGAAGUACAAGAUUUGGGAAGAAAGGGAAGUUAAGCCCAAGAUAUAUUGGACCUUUUGAGAUUUUGGAACGAAUUGGGUCCAUAGCAUAUUGGCUAGCUUUACCGAUGGAACUAGCUCGAGUGAAUCCUACAUAUCAGGUGUCUAUGUUAAGGAAGUACAUCAAGGACCCGACACAUGUCAUACGUUAUGAUUUAGUUCCAUUGGAUGAAGUAUUAACCUUCGAAGAGCAGGUAGUGGCAAUAUUAGACCAUCAAGUGAAGCAACUGAGCUUCAAUGAAGUUGCCUCAGUAAAGGUCUUAUGGUAAAAUCGUUCGGUGGAAGAGGCAACCGGGGAACCCAAAGAGGAGAUGAAGAAGGAAUACCUACACCUCUUUCACGACUAAGGUAUGCUUUACCAACCCACUUUAUUUAAAUUCAAGAACGAAUUUGUUUUAAGUGGGGGAGAUUGUAACACCCCGUACCUUCAUUUAGUGGUCAAUAAGACCCUAUCGAUAAGACAAAGGGUCACUUGAUAUAAAUUUAAGUGUCGAAGAGUGGUUACGAGUGAAAAGAAUAUUUUAGAAUAAAAUAUUAUUUUAUGAAUAAAAUAAUAUUAAAAUAUUAAUAUUUUAUUAAUUACGAAAAUUAGUCCGGAAGAAGGGUAUAUGAUUAAUUUAAGUGGGGGAGAAGAAGUAAGGAAGAAUUCUAGAGAAAAACGACGGUAAUUGUGCUUGCGUGAUUUUAUUAAAUUGAGCUAGCCCAGGUAAGUAAAUAUUUAAAUAUUAUGGUGAUAUCAUGUUAAAAUAUAACUUGAUAGUUCGGUUGUAUACGUGUAAAGGAGGAAAGAUAGAAGGAAAUUAGAAUUUUUAAACAUAUCGAAAGGAUCAAAUUUUAAAAUUUGAAAGUUGGAUGGUUAUGUAGUAAAUAAAAUGAAGUUGAGGAUUAUGUGCACAAUUUGUUAAUUAAAGUUAAAUAAAAUAAAUAAAAUAAAAUAAGGGAAGAGUGGACAAUCGCCCAUGUGUGGAAUGGGAGUAAAAAAAAAAAUUUAAACUAAGUUUUUGCUUUAUGAAUGGAUGGUAGAGGUUGGCCAAAUGGAAUAAUAAAAGAAGAAAAAAAAAGGAUGGUAGGGGCCGACCAAAUGAAACAAUAAAGGAAGAAGAGAAAUAAAAAAAAAGGGGGGGGGACAUGACAAGCAAGCUUUUCAUGUCAGCUUUCCCCCCAAAAUACAGCCACAUCAUUUACAAUUUUUUUUUUAUUCCUUACCACCAGCUUUUUAUAGAGACAAAAAGGGAAAGAGAGCUUGGUUUUUAUCCAACAAAGGGAUAUAGAGAGGGGGCUUUGAGCUGCCAGUUUGGGUGAGCAAAAAAGAAUUUCUUGGGUGGUUGCAGUAGGUCUUGAGGGGAGAAAUAGAGAAGAGAGGAAGCCAUUUACAAAGAGAAGAAGAGUAGGAAAAAAGGGAAGUAGAUGCUGCCUUUUAGAUUGGGUAAAAAUGGGGGAAGCUGCUGUCGAUCUAGAGGAGUAAAAAGGGGGCUGUUGGCUACCAGUUUAUGAAGGAGGAAGAAAAGGUUGUUGGCUACCGGUUGGUGAAAGAGAGUCUUGGUUUGGGUAGCCCACAUAAGGGGGAAGAAAGGAGAAAGAUGGAGAUAAAAAAUGGCAUAUAGAAAGUUAGAAAGCAAGAUGUGAGUGGCGGCUGGAGAAAGAAAGAAAGAGAGAAGAAUGGAGGAAGGAAAAGAAAGAAAGAAAGGAAGGAAAAAAUGGUGAGCUAAUACUAUAUUUUAAGGUUUAUGGAUAGUUUAAUAUUGUGAAUAUUUUGGAUGAAAAAUAUGAAAUUUGGUUAAGGAAUUUUUAAUUAAGCUGCUACCCAUACAUGUGUGUGAUUAAGUAUAUUGGGUUUAAAUUGUUGCUAAGAAAGUUUGUCGUGGUGGCGUGCCGGACGAAGUAAGACGUGACCGAUAAAUGGGAAUAAUUAUAUACACGUACGAACCAAUAGCAACGUAAUAAUCCAGCUAUUGUGAGGUGAGUAGGGGGUGUCCAUUUUAAAAUUUUCGUAACUAUAUAUAUAUACGUAUGAUUUAUUUUAAAAGUAAAAAUUGUGGAAAGCAUGUGUUGGUAGAAUUUUUAGGAAUUUUGUGAUUGCUAUGAUGUUUGGACACGUUUUAAAUAUAUAUGUAUAAAAUUAUAUACGUAAUGUGUUUUAGAAACCAGGAAACAAGUCUUUCACACUAUUUUGCAUAAAAAAUCUGUACCUUGUAUUUUUGUGUGAUGUGCAUAGUUAAAUGCAUUUGCUAAAUGAUUUAUAUGUAAGCUUUCGAGAGCUGGUUUUAGUCCAUUUUUAUAAAAGUAUUUACACCAUGACAAUUAAUGUGAAAAAUAAUUUUUUGGGUUAUCAAACUUUGAUUUCAAACAACUGAAGGAAAAAUUCUCGAGAAACUUGAUUUCGUUUUGAAAAACGUUUUUGACAAAUGAAAGCAUCGAGAGUAGGCCAGAUGUCACAUCGGUUACGUGUACCCUCAUGCAUGAGUGAGCUCUAGCUAGAGAAUUUUUGGGUUGCUGACAGGCUGUUAGACGUGGCUGAGGCCAUGGUCUGUGAUAUACGUGGCAAGGCCACGGGUUGUACAUGUGGCUAGGCCACAAGUGAUAUAUGCGGUUUUAAUCGCUUGAUUCUUCGAUGUCAGCCAACAUCGUUAAGACUGCCAUAGCAUGUGGGAAUCCGGUGGAAGUGAUGCUCCCCAAUUGUUUGUAUGUGGAAAUGGGUCCACGUGUUGAUAUUAUACUUCCUACUCGAGAGCCUUAUGCUUUUUCCAACACCACUUUUUUGUCGGUGGAGAGUCAAGAUUUCUCUGCAACUCCCUUUGUUUUUAACAAAAGCUUUUAAAUUCUUACUUUAUGAUUACGAUAUGGUUUAUGUGGCUGAUCACGUUGAUUUCAUUACAUGCCACACGUUUUGGGAGCAUGCAUACCAUUAUAUUAUUAUUCGUAUUUUGACGGUAAGUCAUAUUUUCGAUGAUUUAACACUAAGUUGCUACACUUGUUUUCUGCAUCAUUUUCCCAAAUUAAAUAUUGCACUGUGAUUUUACAGCAUCAUUUCUAUAAGGCACAAACUUCCCUUUCAAUUAAAUUUAUUUUUGAUAAUCAUGCAUUUUAAUAUUCAAAAUUAUCUGCUGUUUGCUUGUUUCCCAUCUACGCCAUACUCACAGAGCCGAUGAUCAUUGAGUCUGUGAGACUCACCCCCUUUUAUUUCCCCUUUUGCAGACAGGGAUCAGCCUAUCAUGUAAUCAUCAGCACGCACGGUCCACCGUGGAUAAGCAUAUGCAUCUCCUAGCAUUUUAUCCUGAGUUACUCCGCUAUUAGAGGUCGUGUUGUAGCACCAUGCUAUUUAAUGUGUAAUAGAUAUGGGAUUUGAUAUAAAUGACAACUUGGAAAUUUUAGACUCCAUUGUGUGUGUAUAUAUAUAUAUAUAUAUAUAUAUAUAUAUAUUAUUGAUCACAUGAUUUAAAAAUUGCNUUUAGACUCCAUUGUGUGUAUAUAUAUAUAUAUAUAUAUAUAUAUAUAUAUUUAUGAUCACAUGAUUUAAAAAUUGCAUUGUUUCAUUAUGUCUAUGGUUUAAUUCAUGACACGAGAAUAUAUGUGAUUAAGCAUUAACAUGGAUUGCUGGUCAUGUAUGACGAGUUAUUGAGAAAUUCCAUCAAGGCUUGUUCGAGACUUGGCAAGAUCUCUUACAGGUUCCGGACGUCGGUAGCAACCGAGGAAGGGUCGUUACAUUGAAUGCAUUAAUUUUUUUGUCAACUUUGAGUAAAGUAUGAGUAGGUUGAAAACAAUUAACCAAUUCUUUAAAAGAAAAUAUGUAAAUCGUCUAAAUGAUUUUUCUACACUUGAGCCAUUGUGCCUCAAUGCUUUAACUCAUAAGAAAAAGUAAUAUGAAUCAAAAUGUCCAAUACUCAAUCUUAAAAAAUACUAAAGAAAUGGAUUUUUUCAGUACAUAAUUUUUAAUUGAUGAAUUUAAAUUCAAAAAAUAUAGUCAAAGCACAAAUUUCCCAAAAAACUAUUACAAGUCUUUCCUUUCUUGAUUUACAUGUUAUAUAAAAUUAUUUUCUAUUAACAAUCUUUUGAUUAUUAAUUUAGUUUAAUAUAUUAGUUUGUAAAGAUUUUUAACCUUUAUUCAUCUACCUCUGGCCCCCCAACAAAAAAUUGGCUAGUUCUGCCCUUGAAUAUAAAGGCUUAUCUUGAAAGAGAAGGCUAUGAGUAUUUGAGAUUGGUUGCUUAAGACUGCAUAGUGUUGUUGAGUGAGAUGAGUAAAAAAAUACACGUCACAUGAAGACUUUGUAAUUAUUAUUAAGAAAUAGGGUUAGUUGAGUAAUUCUAUUAAAGUAGUUAGUUAGGGAGUAGUGUGGUAUUCUUGUAAUUAAUAUUUACUUCAUUACUUUUUCUAGAAACUGUAUAUAAACUCCAUUGUAAUAAAUUUUUUCCUUGAUAAAAAUUAAAGCAAAAAUUUCAAAAUUCCUCUUUCUUUCUUCUUGAUCAACUGAAACCUAUCUCAAUUUUGUUAUUUCAACAAAAUUUAGGUGGUCAAACAAAGAAAUUAUGAACAAAGAUAUGAAAUUAAAAAUGGUCAAACUAUUAAAAAGUCUCUGUAUUGGUCAAUUUAGUUUAGUUCCUCUACUAAAAACUGGUCAAUUUAGUUUUUGCACUUUGACAUUGUAUGCAAUUGGGUUCGUUUACCUAAUUCCGUUGAAGUUGACUGUUAAUGAUAUCGAUGUGACAUCGAAAUUGACUAUUUUUUUUAAAGCUGGAAAAAGCUCUCAAGGCUAGCUUCCUGUUAAGGUUUUAUUAAAAAAUGGGAAUAAAAAGUACACCGGAGAGGGAGACAUAAACCUUACCCUUAGAAUUACAUAAGAAAGAUUGAAAAGAACACCUAAUGGAGGCAUUACUUUCUUAGCAUUUAAUUUAAGAUUGCUAAGGAUAAGUAAUACUACUCUUUUACAUACAUCUAAAAACAAAAUAUAAAUAUGGAGUACUACUCCUUUACAUUUAUUUAAAUCUAACAUAGGGUAGAUCAAUCCUAUCUAAUUUUAAGAUACCAUGCAAUUCUCCUGAAACUUGGUGAAAUACCUUGAGUCCAUGAUGAGAAUAACCUUGAUUUGAUUAAAAAUCUGUAGCUUGAUUACCUUCUCUAUGAAUAUAAGAAAUUAUAUAGGAAACUUUUUAGAAACAUUUCCUUGUAGAUACAAGAGUAUAUCGAAUAUCAUAGGAACCUUGAGUUUCCUAAAUCAUAUGCACCACUACCAAAGCAUCCAUCUCAAUCCACACUUUGGAUACAUUGUAAUCUUAGCAUAGGAAAAGGCCUCUUUGUAAAGCAAGUAAUUCGGCCUUCAAAGAGGUAUUAAGACCAAAAUUUUCAGAGAAUCGAAAAAUGAGCAUACUUGUAUGGUCAUGCAAGACUCCUCAUCUUGCAAUAUUCAAAGAUUGAUUUUUGAAGCGCCUAUCAACAUUCAACUUAACCUCAUCUAUUAAUGGUUUAAUCCAUCUAAUUAGUUUAGGCAGAUAAUGUGAUUCCUUUAAAUAGCCAAAUCUCCAUGAUUUUGCAAUUUACACAUCUCCUUUCCAUUGCCACUUCUAUAAGAGAUUACCUUUAUAUAACUGCCACAAUAAUUUCAUAACUUGCCAUAUUACUUUAUUUGGAUUGAUUCUAAGGUCCCUAUGCUUUGCAUCAUUAUGUUCAACCCACAGAAACUAACAAAUAAAUAUAAGCAAUAAAAUUCGAAUGUGUCCCUUUUUGGUAUAAUCUCUAGAAUAAAACCAUGCUCAUAUUAUAUGUAAAAUAUUUUGAGGUUGAACGACACUGAUUUGAAAAACCUUAGCAAAAUAAUUCCAAACCUGUUAUGCCACAGGACUUUGCCAAAGAACAUGAAUAAUUGUUUCCUCUUCGUGACAACAUUAACAUUUAGAGGAUAAUUGAAUACCUUUGUUUUUAAGCCGAAACUUUACAAGAAUAUAACCGUGCACCACCUUCUAAAAGAAAAAUAAAAUAGUGAGAGGAAUACUGUCAAAACCUGUUCUAUAAAAAUAAUUACGAUGUCUUUUACAUGCUCAAUAGAAUGUUUGCAUGUUUAGGAAGUUCGAGGAAUCGUUAAAAGACGAUAUUGCCCCUAAUGGUAUUAUUAAGUUGAUUAAGCCUCAAACUAGUUGAAAUAGGAAUUUUGAGGUGAAAUUAAGAGUUUCACAGUUCAGGGAUGACUCAAAAUGGUAAUUCGGAGUUCGGGGAUCAAUUUGGAGUCAAACCGAAAUUUUCACUAUCUAAGGGCAAAAUGGUCAUUUGCCACCUGGGGACAAAAUGGGAAUUUUUAAAAAAUAUUUUUUUUGGCCCCAUUUAACUUAUUGGAGUAUGAUUUGAGUAUUGGAGUAUAAUCUGAGGGCUUGGCAGUGAAAAAGUUUAAUUUUGGUUAUUUUUGGUGUGUAGGGGUAAAAUCGUAAUUUUUCAACCCACAGACAAAAUUUGAGAUUUUGAGAGAAUUUAGAUCAAAUUUGACAAAUUGGAGAAUGGUAUGAGUAUAAGGGAUGAAAAAUAUGUCUAUGGGCAAUUUUUUAGUUUUUGGGAUAAAAAUGUAAUUUUUGACUUUUAUGGGGGUAAAAGUGUAAUUUCAAAAAAAAUUACUCCACCAAGACUUUGGAUAAGUCUGAGAAUUUUAUCUAAGCUAUGGAUAUGUGGGACAAGUGUAUGGUGAAAUUUGAAAACAAAUGGAUGGCUAGAAUUUAAGGAAUUAAUAAAAUAUUAAAAAAAUAAAUAANNNNNNNNNNNNNNNNNNNNNNNNNNNNNNNNNNNNNNNNNNNNNNNNNNNNNNNNNNNNNNNNNNNNNNNNNNNNNNNNNNNNNNNNNNNNNNNNNNNNNNNNNNNNNNNNNNNNNNNNNNNNNNNNNNNNNNNNNNNNNNNNNNNNNNNNNNNNNNNNNNNNNNNNNNNNNNNNNNNNNNNNNNNNNNNNNNNNNNNNNNNNNNNNNNNNNNNNNNNNNNNNNNNNNNNNNNNNNNNNNNNNNNNNNNNNNNNNNNNNNNNNNNNNNNNNNNNNNNNNNNNNNNNNNNNNNNNNNNNNNNNNNNNNNNNNNNNNNNNNNNNNNNNNNNNNNNNNNNNNNNNNNNNNNNNNNNNNNNNNNNNNNNNNNNNNNNNNNNNNNNNNNNNNNNNNNNNNNNNNNNNNNNNNNNNNNNNNNNNNNNNNNNNNNNNNNNNNNNNNNNNNNNNNNNNNNNNNNNNNNNNNNNNNNNNNNNNNNNNNNNNNNNNNNNNNNNNNNNNNNNNNNNNNNNNNNNNNNNNNNNNNNNNNNNNNNNNNNNNNNNNNNNNNNNNNNNNNNNNNNNNNNNNNNNNNNNNNNNNNNNNNNNNNNNNNNNNNNNNNNNNNNNNNNNNNNNNNNNNNNNNNNNNNNNNNNNNNNNNNNNNNNNNNNNNNNNNNNNNNNNNNNNNNNNNNNNNNNNNNNNNNNNNNNNNNNNNNNNNNNNNNNNNNNNNNNNNNNNNNNNNNNNNNNNNNNNNNNNNNNNNNNNNNNNNNNNNNNNNNNNNNNNNNNNNNNNNNNNNNNNNNNNNNNNNNNNNNNNNNNNNNNNNNNNNNNNNNNNNNNNNNNNNNNNNNNNNNNNNNNNNNNNNNNNNNNNNNNNNNNNNNNNNNNNNNNNNNNNNNNNNNNNNNNNNNNNNNNNNNNNNNNNNNNNNNNNNNNNNNNNNNNNNNNNNNNNNNNNNNNNNNNNNNNNNNNNNNNNNNNNNNNNNNNNNNNNNNNNNNNNNNNNNNNNNNNNNNNNNNNNNNNNNNNNNNNNNNNNNNNNNNNNNNNNNNNNNNNNNNNNNNNNNNNNNNNNAGCAUGAAUGGCUAAACUGAUUUUGGUGUUAGAAUUAUUUGUACUGUGUAUUUAGCCUUGAGAGGCUAGGUUGCGAUAAAUUGCCAUGUCAUGCAGAAAAAGAUUUUAUAAAUCAGGUGGUAGAUAAAAGAUUAGCUACUGUAGUGGUGGGGGGUUCUGUGGGCCAGCCUAUUAGAGGGGCACGGUAAACUCCUUUAUAUUCUCACCUCAGUCGUAGAGGCGCGUAGGGUAUCUCCUGAGGUGGGCUUUUUGAGUGCACUUCACGUGGACCACUGCGUGAAAGUGAGACUCAACCAACGCCAAGGAACGGCUAUGUUUCAAAAUAAAAAUAUGAUUUAUGCGAAAUAUGAGUUUUUAACAGCCUUGGCGGGCUCGGUUGGAUACCCCUAGUCCAGGUGUCACCGAGUACAAGAUUUGGCAUGAGCCAAGUUUUGAGUAAUUCACAAGCCAUAUUGAUUAUUUGGUUGAGAUGAAUAUUCGUGACGAGAAAAAUUUACUGAAGUUAAUUAUUUUUUAAUUAUCUCCAUUUACUCGCCUUUAGAUAGUUUAGAUGGUGUCUGUUUACUCACUGGGAUUUUAUAAUCUCACCACCCUCAAUUCUCCACAUUUCAAGUUCGGGAUAGCCGAUUGCAUCAAGGACUUCAGUUAGUCUUGCAUUGACAAAAUUAUAGGUUCAUAGACUCGUAUCUUAUUGGUUAGUUGGGGGCCCACGUGUCAUUGUAAAAGUAAUUUUAUACUUUAGUUAUUUGAUUUAAAAUAUUUAUGAACAUAUUUAGCUUUUACACCAUGUUUUUGGCGGGUUUUGGUAUUUUCAAAGAAAAAUGACGAAAAUGCCCAUGUGAGCCAGAAAAUAAUAUUUUAUUGAUUUGAUUUGGAAAUGAAUUAUGAUUUCUUGAAAUGCAAGAUUUAAUAACUAUCGCUCACCGGGGAUAUGCGAAAGCUGAUGCUAAGCCUUGCGGGGUUCCGAUCGGCAUUUGGGGUAAUGAGUGCUUAUCGGGACGUCGCGGCGGUUGUCACGGGCCCGAUGGGAGUUUCGGGUCGUGACAAAUACUUUUAUGCCAAAUAAGAUUGCACAUAUCGUUAGGAGGUGGAUGUUGACAAAUUAACUCCCAUGCACUCUUAGUAGUAAAGUCACCAUGAGAUGUAGGCACCCAAUAAAUAACAUUAUCUCUAGAGUUUUCAAUAAGAAUCUUCAUAACUUCCAUAACCAAACAAUUCAGAAGCACGACUUUAAGUUUUGCCUUAUCCCAUUCAUCAUUGUUAUAAAAAUAAGGAAAAGGUUUAUCAAUGAUUGCUUUCCCAUUCAACAAUCAUGCCAUAAGAAAAGUUCACCCUUACUAAUCUUCCAACGAAUAUUUUCUUCAGUAAUGUUGUAGCCUUGCUUUAAACAUUUCCACGUUUGAGAAUCAUGAAGUUUAACUUGUACCUACAUUGGUAUUUGACUCACACAGUACUUAGCUUUCGUUAAUCGUGUCCAUAAGCUAUUAGAAGUGUGCAAGCCCCACCAAAGCUUAGUACAGAAAACAUCAAGCAAGCUUUUGAUAUCCAACCUUCCUUCUAUGUUAGGAAAAAAAAUUUUAUGUCAAGAUGUCCAAUCAAUAUGUUUAGAUUCAGUUGAGUCACCCCAAAGAAAACUAUUGGCUAAUCUUUCAAUUUUUUCAACCACAUAAAUCGAUAGCUUGAGGACUUGAAGGAGAUAUGUUAGCAUUGAAGAAAGCACACUCUUUAGUAAAAUAAUGCAACCACCUUGAGAUAAAACCUUAUUCUCCUAACCUAAGAUACGAUCACAGAUUUUGGUUAUGAAAAAAUAAAACAAAAUUGCCUUUUUCAGGCCUUUUUAUAGUGGAACUCCCAAGUAUGGAAUUAGCAACAUUUUAUGUGAAAAACCCAUAACACUUUGGAUUAUUUGCUUCCUGGAGUUUGCAACUUUAUGGCUUGUUAUAAAACAACUCCUCUAAUGGUUAACUUUCUGCUGUAAAAUAGUCUCAUAUUCUUGUAGAGACUUAAGAAUUUUCUGCAAUGCCAAAUGGUUGCCAUUAGUAAAUAUUAGUACAUCAUCCACAAAGGCUAGGUGACUAAUGGACAUGGAGUGCCUUGAAUGAAAUAGAAGGAAGGACAGUGUUCAUAAAGGGCAUUUAGACCUCUAGAUAAAUGUUUUACUUCAAGAAUAAACAAUAAAGGAGAAAUUGAAUCCCUUUGUCUCAAUCUUUCCUCUGAUUUAAAAUACUCCACCAAAGUACUGUUUAUUAGUAAGAAAUGCAUCAUUGAAUCAUAUUUGUUGGAAAAUAAGUGUAUUUCAUAAGGUUCAAACAUCCCACAUUGCCAAGAUACAAGAGAGGUGAAUGCCUUAUAUAUGAAAACCCAUUAUGAGCUUGUUGCAAGUAAAGAAAAAGGAGUGGGCUUGCAUGAACACAAGAUUGGGCUAGACCUUGAGAAAUUUUAUAUUUCCCCCCCUAUGCGCGAAUAUACACAUGGGCCAUGCCUAAGUGAAUUUUUGUACCUUGGCUUUAAUUUUUUUCUAAGCUUUUUCAACCUUUGAUUGAAUCAAACUCAAACUUUACCAUGCUUACCUAGCUUUCAUAGUUUUGCUCUAACUUCUAACUUCUAUCUAACUAAGUACUACUGGUUACAAUGUAUACUUGACUUAGUAUACAUUCUAACUAGGUUUUUCUCUAACUCCUUGAGUCUUUUUCUCAACUCCCUAAUUUGGUGCAACACUUAUGAAAUACCCCAUACUUUGAUAUANNNNNNNNNNNNNNNNNNNNNNNNNNNNNNNNNNNNNNNNNNNNNNNNNNNNNNNNNNNNNNNNNNNNNNNNNNNNNNNNNNNNNNNNNNNNNNNNNNNNCUUACUUCAUUCCCUGCCUAUAAAUACAGCCUCACACCCUCACUCACAACAAACACCAAAGCCUUUCAUCUUCUCUUAAGUCUUUUCUGCUUAUUUUCUCUACUUUUUUUCUUUCCUAACAGGGUUUUUUCUUUCUGCUAUUCCUGUCAUCGCUUAAUAGUUUGUGCAAACUAUAAAGAAGGGUCUGUUGAAUCUUGGAGGAUAAUCGCUAUACAGUCCUUUUGCACUGAAUUUUAGACUUUGGAGGGGCAAAAAUUAUCCUUAAGGAUAGUGAUACCACACCUUAGACUUCUCGCUGUUUUUACUUGCUUCAUUUUAUAUUCCUUUGUUUCCCAUCAUUUUUUCUAACAAUCUUAAGGAUAAUGGAUUCCCACAUUAAUAAUGCUACUAUCGUUGUUUCCACUGCUGUUUCUGUUUCCACUACUGUCUCUGUCCCUACUGCCACUACCAUUGUUAAUGGUUCCACCGUGGCUCCCAGUUCGUUGAUCAUCCCUUCUAUGCCUUCGGUUUCAUAUGCCAAACCAUUUCCAGAUAUUUCCAAAAUAUAAGUCUUUGAUGGCAGAAACUUCAAAAGAUGGCAAGAAAGGAUAUUUUCAAUUUUUGAUGUUCAUGGGGUGGCUUUUGCACUAAUUGAUUCCAAGACAAAUGAUGUCAAGAUGCUGGAACCAUGGAUGCAUGCAAAUAAUGUAAAGCCUGACCUUAUAAAAUACUAGUCAUUACAUACAUGUGAUGAUAACAUGAUUGCAUGCUAGGAGAGUCCCGAAAAAUUUACAAAAGUAGGUAUUGUACCUAGAGGUACAACAAAGUUGAUUUAAUCCUCGAACGAGAUCAAAUAGAAAUUUUAAGGUGAGAUUAAGAGCGUCACAGUCCAAGGAUGACUCAAAAUAGUAAUUUAGAGUUUGAGGAUCAAUUUGGAGUCAAAUCGGAAUUUUCACUAUCCAAGGGCAAAAUGGUCAUUUGCCACUUGGGGACAAAAUGAAAAUUUUAGAAAAGAUUUUUUGGCCUCAUUUGACUUAAUGGAGUAUAAUUUGACUUAUUGGAGUAUGAUUUGAGGUUUAGAAGUGAAAAAUUUUAAUUUCGGUAUAAUUUAGAGUAUAGGGGUAAAAUGGUAAUUUUGCCACCCAAGGGGCAAAAUUGUAAUUUUCCACCACCAGGACAUUUUUUCAGCACAUGGUCUUCCUUUAUCCUCAUUUUUGACCUUUGACUAAUCAUGUGGUGGAGAUAAAAUGUUUAAAUUUUUAAAAUUUUAAAAAUGGACCAAUAAGAAAAUGCCAUGUGUCAAGCUUAGGAUAUUUUCUUAUUUAACUAAAAAUCAGNNNNNNNNNNNNNNNNNNNNNNNNNNNNNNNNNNNNNNNNNNNNNNNNNNNNNNNNNNNNNNNNNNNNNNNNNNNNNNNNNNNNNNNNNNNNNNNNNNNNNNNNNNNNNNNNNNNNNNNNNNNNNNNNNNNNNNNNNNNNNNNNNNNNNNNNNNNNNNNNNNNNNNNNNNNNNNNNNNNNNNNNNNNNNNNNNNNNNNNNNNNNNNNNNNNNNNNNNNNNNNNNNNNNNNNNNNNNNNNNNNNNNNNNNNNNNNNNNNNNNNNNNNNNNNNNNNNNNNNNNNNNNNNNNNNNNNNNNNNNNNNNNNNNNNNNNNNNNNUUAUGUUAGUGUUUUUAGUUAGUUUAGCAUAUUUAGAAACAAAACAACAAGAAAAGAAUUUAUUUUCUCCCACAACCAUUAAUGGCCGAAUUUACCAUGUAUGAGUGAGGAUGAGUUUGAUUUUUAUUCUAGGAGAAUUGGUUAAGAAAUGAUGAAUUAUGAGCCUAGAAAAAUAAUGGGAAUUUUCGGAGCAAAAAUAUGAAUUUUUGCCCACUAGGGGCAUUUUCAUAAUUUGCUAUCGAGACUAAUAAUUUUGCACCACACUGAGGGACAUUAAGUCAAUUUCGGUGCAAUUGAGGUAUAGAAACUAAAAAAAAUUAAUUUGGGAUUAAUUGGACGCGUUAGUAAUUUAAUCAGGUGAUAAGAUGAAUUAGGCCAAUACCGAGUUUUGAUAGUUACCAGUGCAUUUUUGCAUUCCAUAUUAUGCAUUAAUAGUCUAAAUUAGUUUAAUUUCAAUUUAGUACCAAUGUAGUGAAUUUCUCGAUUUUGUACUAUGUCAAGGUGGUGAGUCCUCCGAUAAAG
rnacentral:lncRNA from 1 species